AGACAUUAUAAUACCCUUGUACGACCUAAGUCUCAUUAUCUCAUGAUUCGUGCUUAUAUAAUAUACUUGGCGAUGCCAUGAAGCCCCUUUUCCUUUGAUUUCUAUACGUGAUUUGUUGAAUGACAAUCCCUAAUGAGAAUUUACAUACCUUAUACCAUCCUUAGUAACUCUUAGAAUUUUUAUUGCAUCAGUUAUCACUUUGCAGUUCUAUAUUUAUGAUCGUAUCAUGAACAUUUCAAGUGAGUUCUAAAAUCUCAGCAUAAAUCAGCUCCUUAAAGUCAAUAAAGUCAAGUCAGCUCAGAAAUUAGUUUCAUGAUUGAAGUUUUAAUAUUUUAGCUCAUUUAUAUCCUUCAUUACCAUACAUAUCAUGCGUACAUUAUUCCAUACUUCUAAGACUUCAAUAAGUUCUUACCCAUCAUUCCAGGACAAAUGAUCCCAAAAGGGAGAUAUUGUAAUACCCCACAAGCUCUUAGAUAAGUUUCCAACUAUUUGUUAUAUGAUUAAAGUCCCCAAAGAGAUUAUGUGAAGCCAUAAUUAAGUCUCACAACCAUUAACCUUAUGUAUGAAGUGUGUUCGAUGUGAAUCAUGGUCAUAGGAAGCACUUAGACCAAAGUCGAGUUAAGAGCAUUUGUAUCGAUUUAGUUUUAGUAUCCGAUCCUACAUGGGUCAAAUUUAAACGUGUAUAGUUCCUAUAAUAUAAUGAUUCAGUCUCCUACUAUAUAUCAAAUCAAAGUUCUUUGAGUUGUUUUUCCAACACAUUUGAUUUCACCUUAAUUCGAUAUCGGAGUGGAAAGUUAUGCUCAUUUUACCUCAGCGUGUCCAUCUGUCAACAAGGUAACGACUUGAGGUGAUAAGCCAUCAACUAAGUAAUGAUCUAUCAACCUUGUCGUCAGCCUAAACUAGAAACACCCUGCAUUUCUAAAGGAACGAUGACGACUAGGUUGACAAGCCUUCAACUAGUUGAUAGGCUAUCAACUAACUCGUUAACCUUAACCAGAUUAUGAAGAGAAGGUGACAGCUAGGUUGACAAUUGUCAACUACAUCGUUAAUCUUAACUAGAUCAUGAAGAGAAGGUGACAACUAGGUUGACAAGUUGUCAACUAGUUGACAGACUGUCAACUAAGUCAUCAACUACAGAAAUUCCUAUAAUUUUUAUUCAGUUUUCCUAGGGGUAUUUUAGUCUUUUCCUCACCUCAAACCCUACCCCCAUGACUUAAAUCACCCUAUACAUGAUAGUUUUACAUCAUUAAUCAAUUUUUAAUAUUUGCUCUCCUCUCCACUCUCAAGAGAAAAGAAAUUAGGGUUUCUUCCCAAAAAUAAGAAAUUCAAGCUUUCUUCCCCAAGAACUCAAGAAUUCAAGCUCCAAUUUCAAGCUUUCAUCAAGAAAUCAAGAAAUUUAGGUAUGUGAUAUUUUGAACAAGGUUAAUCUUUCAUUCUUAUGCCCGACAGUAUAAUUUUCAAGUUGAAGUUACAUGUUUUAAAUUAGGGUUCAUCCCCAAAUUCUCAUGUAUUGAAGCAUAGCCUGUGAUUUAAAGGACUAAAGAGCAUAAGAGUUGUACUUAUUCAGGUUUUAAACUAAAAGUUUGAUAUUUUGUAUUGAAUUUUGUUAUUUUGAUGAGAAAUUGUCAUUCUCCUAAGUUUAAUACAUCCCCAUGCUUAAAAUCAUGUAUUAUACUCAUGUAUUGAACUGUCCAAUGUUUUAGGUCUCUGAAUUAUGACUUCAUAUUACUGUUUUAAGAGUUGUUUAUCGUAUUUUAGUAAUCAUUCAAUGCUGGUGGGUUAUGAACACCCGAUACCUAUAUUUUUACUUACGUUUCAAACUUUUCAAGUAAUGAGUCAGCCAACUCAUGUUUUCAUUAUUAAACUCGGUUUGUUUUAAUCUUAUUGAACACUAUAAAUUUACACAUUUAUGAUUAUUUUAUACCUUGUAUGAACUCUUGUUUUCAAAAAUAUCAUGACCUGAGCUUAUCAGCUUUAGCACAUUCACCAGUUAGUAUUUUUGUGUCUUUCAGUAAGGAGUAGGAUUUAGCAUCGAGUGGAAAGGGUGGGUUCAACUCAUACUACUUCCCCAAAAACUAUGUGCCCCCAUAGGUUUAGGGGCCUUUCUAUAGAGUGUUCUCCUUGCUCAAUAUGAGCUCAGUUUAGUGAUCACUCCAGUUCAGGUUCUAUUCUGAUGGCAAGGAUAGAACAACCCUCCUCAAUGUGGGUCUUCCGUUGAAAUCCAUUAUAGUUUACAUGGUUUAUGCUGGUUAUAUGAUAGCUCCUACAGUUUCAUCGGUAUUCAGUUAAUCUCAGGUCAGGUUUGCUUGACCAAGUAAUCAAAUUUUAGUAAUUAUUCAGUUAGUUUUACAGAUUAUUCAUGUUAUUCAAAUCAUGUCAGUACAUACUAUACUUGGUCUUCCAUUUCUCAAUGUUACAUGUUCAUGUUUUUCAUGAUCAGUAUCCAUACAUGAUCCUCAGUUCAGUUUUACAACAUGUUCAGCAUUACAUGAGAUUUAAAUAAAAUAUUCAUGUUUUACCGCUUCCCAACUUUAGUUCUACUUAUUCUAAAAAGUAAAGAUUUAAGAAAAUAAGUGUAGUGAUUUACCAGCUUAUCAUAUUAUGUUUGUUACUCAUGUUUUAAGAUACUUCAUCUUUCAGUUGAUUUUAGUCUCUUGGUGAGUCACUUUCACUUAACAUGCAUGUUUUAAGUUAUGUAUCUAUUCAGUUUUACUUAUUGCAUUCACCCUACUGACUCAGUACAUUCUAGAAGUACAGACCACAUAUACGUACAUGUAGAUACAUUGUUUCAUAAUGUAGGUAUCAGAAGUAGUCCACAUACCAAGGUCAGAUAGUUGGCAACUUUCAGUUAGUAGGUGGUGAGUUUUUCUAUUUCAAAAACUCCAGUCCAUUGCAGUUCAUGUGUUGUAUUUUGAUUAUCCAUAUAUAUUGAUUAGUGGUAGUUGGAGGCAUAUCCCAGCUAUCUAUAGUCAGUAUAGUAGAGGGUUCAUAGAUAAUCAGAUAGAGUCAUGAUAUAUAAUUCAAGUUCUUUCUUUAGAUUUAUCAUGUUGUAAACUUUAUCAGUAUUAAAUUUAUUCACACUUUCUCAUGAUCAUGUUUUCGCUCAGCAAAUUUAGAUUUUAUACAAUUUAAAUUAGUUGCUCAAGCAUUAUGUAGUUCAUGGGUUAGCUUGGUAUCACUUGAGGUUCCAGGCACUGUGUUACGACUAGGGGUAGUCUUGGGAUGUGACACCACCUUUAUUUCUGGUUCAUCUGAGGAAGCUUCUUCUCAAUCCUCACAAUUAGCUUUCCAUAAAAAGUUCUCAGCCUCUAGCCCUAUAUUUCUUAUAUAAAAUCUUGUCUCAAUUCUCUAGACUCUUUUCUACUAGAGGACAUGCUGAAGUUCUGGACUAUAUAAUAGCAGGAGAAGUUCAUCAUCUUCAAAAAUUGCUCUGUAGUGUUUGGAAGAAUUAUGAAUCUCUUACAGUUAAAUGAGUCCCAUUGAAAUGUAAGUUUUUUAAGCUUAAGACUUAUCUCUUGUACUUUUCCUCCAUUGUUUAAAAGUUUUGGAAGAUCCUGUUAGCAUGUUUUAUGCUAAUCUUUGCUCCUCCUAAGAUAGUAGUGAGUUAAAAAGUGUUGUGCUUGAGACAAGAAUCAUCCUGAAUGACUUUAAUGUUUGAAAAGGUGUUUUAUACCAAGUUUUCUGGUGCAAUUCCCUUCAUGAAUGGUACAUGGCCUGAUAAUUUUAAAGUUAGCUUUGAGGGAGCUAAGAAAGUUGUCUUAGACCUUGAAGUAAGUCUAUCCGAUUUUGGUUCACUGUCUCUUUGUUUUAAAUAUAGAAUUCUAGCUCACAUAAGUGCUACUAUCCUAAUCUAAGGAAGGCUUCCCUUAGCAAUGUCACCUGCAGAAAUGUGUUCUUGUUAUACUGUAUGGUUAAAAAUUACAAAAUUAAUUACGCUACGUGGUUUUGUGAGUAUAUGUUAGAGAGCGCAAGUGAUACACAUGCCACAAACAUCUUGUCCUGCAGACUGUCAAUUACUCAAAUUCUCCUACACUACUUUAUUGUCCCCUCUGGAUUUCCUGUAGUAGAAGUCUCUAUGACUUAUGAAUCUAAAACUUUUCCCAACAUAGGGUAUGUCUCGACAGACACUGAGUGGUGCAAAAAAGAGUCUGCAAAAGCCAAGAUUGACCUUCUUAAGGUGAGUAAAAGUGCUUCUAGCCCUAUGAUUCUAGUGAUAAAAAUGAUAGGAAAUUAAGGAGCGCCUCAAGUCUAUUGAAGAAGGAAUGAUGGGUCUUCAGGAGUCUACUAGCAGGUUGCUACAGUUUAAUAAAGACACUAGCACUGAUGUGGGAAAAAUGUGGCUGUUAAUCAAUGGCUUGAAAUAGGAAGGUAUGAAGAUUUUCAAUAGGUAUUUGCUCCAGUUGACUUCAUCAAAUCUGAAGCCAACUCUUCCCACAACGAGCUUGCCAUAUUUGUUCAGAACUCCUACUUCAACUUUUCUAAGAAUGUUGAAAAGUCUUAUGAAUGCUUCUUCCAUAAUAUGCACAACACCCUCACCUACUUUCUAAAGAAAUGAUAAAUUCUUGACUGCUUAUUCAAAGGGGCCCUGUCCCCUCCUUUCCUUUGGCAUGUAUUUGGGAUACUUACAUACUCUUUAUUUUGUUUUUUUCUUUUUGUAUGGAUGCCAUGAACAUUUCAUGAUCUUUUUAUCUAUAUUCUAUCUGCUUGAUGUGUCUAGUUAUUUUUUUCUAGUCUUGGUUGCCAUAUUAUUUUUGAUUAUGUCAAAAUGGGAGAUAAUGGUACAAAUAUUGGAUUCACAAGGUCAACAAGUAAGGGAGAUCCAACCAACUAUGCAUAUAGGGAAGUCAACCGAUGUUCAAAGGAAGGGUCAACAAGUAAGGGGGAGCAAGCCGAUUAUAAAUAUAGAAAAUUCAACUGAUGUUUAUUAUUUGUCAUUAUAAAAAAAGGAGAGAUUGUUAGCCUCAUAUAAUAGCUUAAUAUGGUUUAAUAAUGACAAACUAAUAAGGAAAAUAUGCAGGAUACGCUAAGGAGAAGAUCAAGGUAGAGAAUCCAUUGAUGGACAAUCCCAAAACUAUAAUGGGAAGAGCAUCGUGAAAAGAUCUAAGAAGAUUCCUGAAUAAGGAAGUCAAGGAUCAUAAGAAGCUAAUGACAGAGCAAUAAAUAUGGAAGUAGAUCUCACACAGAGCUAAAGAAGGUAGGAAGAUCAUAUCCUCUACACGAAUAUAUCUGAUAUGGAUAUGUAUGGAUGUGAAUCACUAUCCAAGAAAGGAAAAUCAUAUCACAUGCAUAGUAACAACCUACUUUUUGAUUAAACAUAUAAAAUUUGUGAGUUUGUGAGAUUUGACUAUUUUACCUCACCUCAUAGUUGCAUUAUGGUAUUUCUGGGGUGUGGGGGUGAUUGGCAUGAUUCCUAAUGCAUUUUGGUACCAUUUAUGGGAUAUUGUGGUUUUUGAUGGCUUUGAGAGCCUUAUUUUGAACUUAUGUGGAUAUCUUUUGAUUCAUGCGAUGGAUGGCUGAAUGGACUAUGCCAGCAGCUCUGAAAUAUUUAUUUUAGGCUAGAUAGACCUUUGGUUCGAGUCUUGAUGCACCCAAGCUCAUUUCAACCUAUUGAUUGAAAAGUUGAAAAAUUAAAAAUAUGAGCAUGGGAUCCACAUUUGAUUGAAAUGACCUCAGAUGAAAAAUCCAAUAUCGUUAGUAGAUCUGGAACGUCGAUUUUAGGAUGGUAAUAUAUUUGGUGUGAUUUUACGAUAUUUAAAUUUUAUUUUGACCUUAGUUUGGAAAAUUGCAAUUUCAGAUUAUGGGGGUCAACUUUAUGAAAUCAAUAUUUUUUCAAAAAUCUGAUAUUGUCAUUGAGUCCUGAGCAUCGAAUUUAGUAUGGUUACAUAGUUCAUUUACAUAUAUUGGAUUUCGAGUGAAUCCCGAGCGCCCCGUCGAAGUCCAUUUGGACUUAGAAAAAUCUGCACUAUAACAGGUCUUUCUUCAAUAUAUACCAACUUUUUUACCCUCUUUUGGUCCAUUUUAUCCAUUCGUUCACCUGCCUCAUAUUGUUAAACCCGAAAAUAGUGUGAGAGCUUAAAAGUGAAGCUUGUGGGAGUUUGGGAAGCUAGAUUAACAUCUAUUCUUAAUUCUCUUAGGUAUUUAAGGUAAUAAUUCACUCUUUUCUUAGUAAUUUCUUGAUUAAUUUUUUAAAACCCCAAAAAUCUUAGAGCUUGAUUUUAAAGCUCAAUUUCACUCCUUUUCACUUGAAUAAUCUUUUAGUCUUAUAAUUGCUAAUUUUUCAUUAAUUUAACCUUCAAAACAACUUCGAUUCUUGAUUUUAACCCGAAUUUCAAAGAAUUUAUCUAGUAAAGCUUAAAAAUAAUUUCUUUGAUUUGAACCUUAUUUUUGACUCUAUUAGACUUAAGUUUUAAGCUGUAGGUUACUAAAACUAUGGAGAAUACGUUUUGAAGUAAAGUUACGAUUUUGUCCUUAUUUUUUAAAAACUCAUUUUGGGGGUCCAUUUUGACUCCACUCAAACGUAAUCAAUAUGGGUGUCGUUGGUUUUAUUUUGAUGCAUAGAUUUCAUGUUUGAUGUUUUAGUGAAGUUUGGUAUUAUUUGUGGAAAUUAAGAUCGUGGGUUCGAAGUGUAGCAGAUCGAUUUUGGCAUUCGAGGUAGGUUAUGACUUAACUCUUUUAGAUUGGACUGAGAAGUAAAUAAUGGUACACAAUGCAUGUUAAGGGUGAGAACUAAUCAUAAAAAAUGGCUAUCUAUGUGUUGUGUCUGAGUGGAGGCCUGUAUAUGAUAUAAUUGUAAAAAUUGCGGUAUCACAUAAUAUGUAUGACCGUGUGGGGUCCUAUAUGAUGUUGAUAGCCUUAAAUACAUGUGAAUAAUGAUAUUGUGUUGUUUCAAAUACCUAUUAUGGUACCUUUAGUGUGUUGUGAUAUAUAUUCAUACUUUGGUCAUAUGAAAACAUGUUGAAAUUCAUGGAUGAAUGAUAAUAAUAAGUGGAUACUGGCUCACCUGGCUAUGAAAAUAUAUCACUAUGGUUGGUUGUUGAAAUAUAUUAUGUGGUUGGUUUUUGAAAUACUCAUUGUGAUUGGUUGUGCGCAUUACAUUCUCAUAUCAUACUCAUUCAUGAAAUAAAUGGUACCACCGUGGCAACACUUGAGAAACACUGGCAACACCUUUUUAUGACAGAAAAUGUAACAUCUAAUAAAACCUCUUGAAGGGAUGUGCCAGGGAGAACGAAGCUACUGCCUUAGCAGAAGUGAAUCGAGGGAUAUAUAUAUAUAUAUAUAUAUAUAUAUGGAUUGUAUAUGGGUUGAUGAACCCCCAUGGGUCCCAUAUUGGGAGACUUGCUGUAAUACCCCAUACUUUUCUUAGUUCAGUUCAACUUUUAGUAUAUGCACAAGAGGCUUAGAACUUGAAAAUUUAGCUAAGGCUUGGAGACUUAGUUUUAUUUUUGGCCUCUUAACUUCGAUAAUUUUUAAAUUAACCUUUCCGACCCUGAGACGUAAGUUUUUGAGUUGAUUCAUGUUCAAGGAUAUAAGUAGCAUGUCUCGGUGAGUUUUAAAUUUUUUCAACGAGGUUUGGACCACAUUUGGAUUUCCAAGACAACAGUUCACUGCGAUUGCGCCACGUUGUGAUGGCUAUAGCGGUGAAAGCGUUGGUGCAUCGAGGUGAGAGCCCAAACGGCCUUUUUAGUUGCGAAUUUUAAUUUCUAGGGGCAGUUUAGUCUUUUUUCACCACCCCCAAAUUAUGAAAACACGGGAUUAAACAGCUGAAAGGGCAUAUUUUGCUCACAUUCCCCAAUAUCAUUCAACAAAAAACCCUAAACUCUCUAAUUGUUCAUCAAGCCAAACCUUUUCCCCAUCCAAGAAAGAUCAAGAAUUGGGGUUUCGAAGCCAAGAACAUUCAAGCUUGUGAUAUUCUUCAGGAUUUAAUCCUUGGAGGUAUGUUAUAUGUUCAUCCAUGGGCACUUUUCACCCAUGGAGUCCAAGAAUCCAUCUUUUAUGUUUUAAAUUAUGAAAUGACUAUUUAUAAUGAUUUAUCUUCAUGAAUAUUUUAUGAAUUUUGAUUUUACAUGAUGUUUACAAUCUAUUUUUGUCAAAAGCAGUCCUUACACGUUUGAAGCAUGAAAUUUCAUUGUUAAAUCCCUUAAUAUGGUUUUAGUUUUUCAAUUAUGCUAUUCCCACAUAUUUCACUUAUUCCCAUGCUUAAGUCCAUGAAUUUCUUACCAUUUAAAAUUCAAGUUAAGAUUAUAAAUUGUUUCAAGUGGAAUGCAUUUUAGAAUGUUUUAAGUAUGGUGGUUUCCAUAUCAUGUUCAUGAGAAUUCAGAAUAAAUUCUUAGUUUAUGAUCUUGUCUUGUUAUCGUUCUAUCUCAUCGUGUUUAAAGGUAUUCCCAUAUUUAAAUUCAUGUCUCCCAUGUGUUUGAUAAAAGGCUUAAGUGAAUAAUUACGAACAAUGAUUUCCUUAUAUGGUUUUGAAUGCUUUCAUGUGUCCUUAUUAUUGCUAUCGAGUCCUGGGGGUUAUGAAUACCCAAAAUUUAGCUGUUUACUUAGUCUCAGUAUUCUCAGAAUAGUUUCAGACACGUAUGAGCAUUAUCAGUUUAGUAAGUUAUUAUGUCAGUCAAACUUAGAUCAGUUCAAUAAUUCGAGUCAGUUCCUUUUUCAGUUAAACUUAGUUUAGUCCCAUAAUCAGUGUUAGUUUAGUUGGGAGUAGGAUUCAGCAUCGAGCGAACCCAGGUAUGGGGGCAUUCCUAUUAGUAUAGGGUUUGACCCUUAGUAGCAAUCUCUGAGUUAUAGAACUACGUAUCCAACGUAGGUUUGGGAUGUCUUCCUAUUAGUUUAGGGUUGACACAUAUCUCAUGAGUCUUUCUGUUAGUUUAGGAUUGACAAGAUAUCUUUCUGCUAGUUUAGGGUUGACACAACCAUUGUUAGUACCCAUGGCAAGUUACUAGCACCCUUCCAACUGGGGUCACAGGUUGGACCCCGAUCAACUCAGCUUUAGGGUAUUUUGGUUAGAUGAUACCUCCCAUAGUUUUAAUUUCAGUAUUUAGUUCAGAACUUAGUUCAGUUUUUCUUGACUGUAGCAUAUAGUUUAUCAGUUAUUCAGUUAUCGAAUUUUAAUAUUUUAGUUUAUAGACUAUUUCAAAAUCAUUUUAUAUUCUUGGUCAUGCAUUCUUAGAUUUUACAGCAUUCACACAUUCAUAUCCAGUUAUCUCAUGCUAUUCAUUUAGUCAAUUGUUAUUCAUACACAUGAGCCCAUGCAUAUCAGCCUAACCUCAUCUAGCAUGCCAGUAUAUUUAAAGUACUGACUGCAUACUCAUUUCUUGCACUAUGAUGUAUCAUAUCAUAGGUUCGGAUGCUCAGGUUCCCUAUCACAGUUAGAUAUUCCAGCACAUCAUCAUCAUCAGCAGUGGUAAGUCCUUAUAUUUUGAGGGUCAAUUAUGUUUAUGUUAGUACUUUAGUCCAGUAGCCAGUCGGAGUUAGCUGGGGACAUGUCCCAUCAACUCCAUAGUCAUUCAAUUAGAGGCUUUCAGACACUUUCAGAUAUUUAUCCAGUUUUCAAUUGAUUGUCAGUCUUUACAUUAUUACUUUCAGACAGUUUUUUUAGAUUUAAGAGUUCAGUGAUGUCUUAGUAUUAUAAAACCUUAUGAAAUACUAAGUUAUUUCACAUACGUGUAUCUUUUAUUAGUAGUUUCGUUCAGUGUUCACAGCAGGUACCAGCUCAUGGGUUAGCUUAUGAUCACUUGUGACUAUAAGCACCGUGUGGCAUCCAGGGUGUACUCCCGGGGCAUUACAUUUGCUUCCGUGGAUGUAUAUGGGGAUUGUCCGAUGAUCCCGGAGGUUGACCAAUGACCUCGUACAAUAUCAUCAUCAUCAUCAUAUACAUUGCACUUACUUUAUUGUGUUUAUGUUGGGUUUGUAUUGCCGUAUUUACUUGUCAUCUAUCUAUUUGUUCUAUAUCUUGAAUUGUGAAUGUCUAAUUAUUCUAUCUUUCUUUAUUUGUACUUGAUGAUCUUGAUUAUAUAUGUUCCUAUUUUGUUCUACUUGUAUGUGAUAUUGUGUAUAUUUGUAUCAUUAUCAGGUGUGCUACUGUAUUAUGUGUAUAUAUUGUAGAACUGUUACUGCAAGAGGUAUGAGCUACCAUUUUUGGAUAUUUUCUGAUUGCAGGUGAUGUUCCCUUGGUGUAUAUUUUGUAUACUUUAUUUACUAAUUUUCUUGCUCGGCCUAUGAUACCUACUGAGUAUAAGUGGACCAUACUUAUUAUUACUAUGCCUUUUUAGUGCAGGUCUUAGUUCGAGUGCGCCUCAACUUUCUUGACUUGGGCGAUUGCUGAAGCUUCCAAGGUAGCGGUUAGACAUUUAUGUAUUUUGAGUUCAAACAUAUCUUUCUAUAGUUAUUAUGUCUUUAUUAGUAUUUGGAGACAGAUUUUGACACUUGGUUUUGGGAGUUUUGGCUGCAUUAUUGUUUUGUUUUUGCAUUUAUUAUUCUUUUAUAGUUAAGCUUUAUUCUAGAAGACUUACUUUGGGGUUAUUAUUGUCUUUUUCCCUUUGUGUAUUAGUCUUUGUGGUAGGCUUACUUGUCAAGGUUCUUCGUGACAAGUGCAUUCACCACUUUUUAGAGUUUAGGUCGUGACAAAUUGGUAUCGGAGCAGUCAUGUUUCAUGGGUCUCAGCAGUAUAAGAAUGGAAUAUCUAAUAGAGUCUCGCAGAUCAAUACAUAGACAUUCGUAUUUAUGUUUGAGAGGCUAUAGGAUGUCUUUAGGAAACUUUCCUCAUUUUAUUCUUUAUCGGGCGAAGUUCUUUCAUACCCGGUGUUUUGAGUUCUAUUUCACUCUUUUUGUAUGUAUGGUGUUGCUUAUAUGGCCUAUCAUUUGACAGAUAGUGCUAGAGAUUAGUGGAGGUCACUUGUGAGUUAUAAACCACAUGAUUCUCAUAAUAUGACUUAGGAUCAGUUUGUUGAUGCCAUUUUAGAGAGAUUUGUACCUUUCAGUUUGAGAGUUCGUAUGCAGAACAAGUUUGAUCAUUUGAACUAGGGUUUCAUGAAUGCUGUAGAGUAUGAGGCACAUUUUUAUGCCUUGUCUAGAUAUUUCUAUAAUAGCAUUUCCAUAGAGUCUGAGAAGAUUCAGAGGUUUGUGAAGGGUUUGGAUAUUUUUCUUCAGUUGGCUAUAUCUCAGAUAAUUGUGUUUGGGGCUUCUUUUUAGAGUGUUAUGGAUCAUUCUAAGAUGACAGAGGGCAUUCUUCGGGUAUCACAAGGAGGCACCAAGAAGGUGCGCCAUUUUGGUGAGUUUAGAUAUCAGGUUUCUCAUGGUAGAAAUUUUAAAGAUUCUUGUAGGUAUCAGGGUAGGCCAGUGCAGGGGGCCUUACAGAGUUCUGGUCAAGGAUCUUUUGGUCCAACAAUUUAUAGUGGUCGUUCUUGCCCAGUUGUAGCUUGUCUUAUUGAGACUUAUCGUAGAGGUUGCUAUGUGUGUGAUGAGAUUGGCUAUGUGGCCAGGGACUUUCUCUGCCGAGUGUUUUGGGCUACUCCUAUUCUAACUGUAAGGGGUAGGGGUGGUAUAAGAGGUGCAAGGGCAGAGGUAGUGGAGCUCGUGGGGUUGGUCAUAGGGCCACUCAGGCAGUUGGUGGUCAUGGAGCCACCAAGAUAACUAGUGGUCAUAGUCAAUGUUAUGCUAUACCAUCUAUACUUGAGGUAGAGGCUUCUGAUGCUGUGAUUACAGGUAUUGUCACCAUUUGUUUCAGACCUAAAUUUAUAUUAUUUGAUCCCGAAUUGACUUUAUCCUAUGUAUUUGUGUAUUUUUCUUUGAGUUUUGAUUCUGUUAGUGAGACUCUUGCCAUGCCUAUUUGUGUAUCUAUCCCGGUAGGUGAUUCUUUAGUAGUGGAUCAGGUGCACUAAUCUUGUGUUGUGAUUUUUGCCGGGCGUAAGACUUUGGUAGACUUGCUUGUAUUACAUAUGGUUAAUUUUGAUGUUAUUUUGGGUAUGGAUUGGUUGGUUCCUUAUCGUGCUGUCUUAGAUUGUUUUGCUAAGACUGUGCCUUUAGUUUCAUUGGGUUUGCCAAGGAUAGCUCGGAAGGGUGUAUUUCAUUCUGGUCCUAAGAGGGUCAUAUCUUAUGUUCAGGCUCACGGUUGGUUGAGAGGGUAUUUUUAGCUUAUUUGGCUCAUAUUCGCGAUACUAGUGUUGUUCACCUCUUUCUUUAGAUUCUGCCCAUGUUAUUCGUGAGUUUAUGAAUGUGUUUCUUAAGGAUUUUCCUGGUAUGCCUCCGGAUCAUGAUAUUGAUUUUACUAUUAUUGUUGAGUAGGGCACCAAGCCCAUUUCUAUUCCCCCUUAGAGGAUGGACCCAAUAGAGUUAAAGAAUUUGAAGGAUCAGUUGCAGGACUUGUUGGAUAAGGGCUUUAUCUGACCUAGUGUUUCACCUUAGGGUACACCUAUUUUUUUUAUAAAGAAGAAAGAUGAGUCUAUGUGGAUGUGUAUUUAUUAUCGACAAUAGAAUACGGUGAUGAUUAAGAAUAAGUAUCCUUUUUAUUGCAUUGAUGAUUUAGUCGAUCAGCUUUAGGGUACUGCCGUGUUUUUAAAGAUUGAUUUAAACUUCAAUUAUCACCAAUUGAGGAUUAGAGCUUCAAAUAUUCCGAAUAUAUCUUUUUAGACUCGAUAUAGUCAUUAGAUUGAUGAUGUUGGAUUGAGGUUGAUUCGAUAUAAUGUGUUGAGUGUGGAGGCUAAGUAAGCCUCACUUGAUUCAAAUAGAUUUUUGCGGAUUGGAGGCCGAGUUUGUGUGCCAAGAGUGGGUGACUGGAUUAGGUUGAUCUUGAAGGAGGCGCAUUAUUCUAGACAUUUCAUCCAUCCAGGUAUGACUAAGAUGUAUUGUGAUUUGAGACAACACUACAGGUGGGGUGGUACGAGGCGAGAUAUAGCAGAUAUUUUGGCACGUUGCCUAUGUUUUCAGCAGGUGAAGGCCAAGCAUAUGAGACCUGGUGGAUUGCUUUUGAGGUUGCCCAUUCCUGAGUUAAAAUGGGAACAAAUCACCAUAGACUUCGCGACUGGUUUGCCUCGUUCCUCUGAGGGUUUCAAUAGUGUUUUGGUCAGAAUGGAUUGAUUGACCAAGUCAGCUCAUUUCCUUCCAUUUCAGCUUUUCUUCAAUGUCGAGAGGUAGGACUGUAUCUAUAUUCAUGCGAUUAUGUAUCUGCAUAGUAUGUCGGUGUCCAUUAUUUCAAAUCAAGGUUCUGUGUUCACAUCUCACUUUUGGAAGACUUUUCAGUAUGAGUUGGGUACUCGGAUUGAUAUCGAUACUAUGUUUCACCCCUAAACUAAUUGCUAGUCAGAGCAGACUAUCCAGGUUUUGGAAGAUAUGGUUUGUACAUGCGUGAUAGAUUUUGGUGGCCAGUGGGAGCAACAUCGGCUUUAGCUGAGUUUGCAUAUAACAACAACUACCAUUCUAGUAUGGACAUGGCUCCUUUCGAGGCAUUGUAUGAUAGGCGUUGUCACUUUCCAAUGGGUUGAUUUGAUGUUGUGAGGUGAAACCUCGAGGUAUGGACUUGCUUCAUGAGUCUUUGGAUAGAGUCUGGGUCAUUCUAAAUAGACUUAGAGCGGCUCAGAGUAGGCAAAAGUGUUAUGCUGAACAUAGACUUCGCGCCUUGAGAUUUAGUGUUGGUGAUCGUGUUUUUCUUUGAGUUUCACCCAUGAAGGGAGUGAUGAGGUUUGGGAAGAGGGAAAGCUUAGCCCCAGGUAUAUUAGUGCAUUUUAGAUUCUUGGAUUGUUGGUGAUAUGGCAUAUAAGUUGGCUUUUCCCCCUGAUCUAUCAGUUCUUUAUCCAGUUUUCAUGUUUCUAUGCUUCUCCAUUGCACUCUGGAUGAGUCUAGUGUUAUUUGUUGGGAGUUAUUUAAGUUAGAUGAGGGGUUGUCUUUCUUGAGGAGCCGGUCUUAAUAUUGACUAGGGAUGGUAGGCGGUUGUGCUCUAGAGUGAUUAUUAUGCCUAAGCACACAUACAAGUGUACGUGGUCUCACCAAGUAAUAUAGUGGCCUUAUAAAAAUUCGAAUAUCGAUCCCACAGGGACUUAUGUUGAUAACUAUCUAAAUCUAGUUCACUAUAAAGAUGAACAUGUGUUCAGGUAACCAAAAAAUUUUGGAAAGUUAAAACUAAAUGUAAACUUAACUAUGCAGUAAAUUAAAGGUCUUGGACAAUCAAUGGGGAGAAACCUAGGGUUAAGGCUCUGCGAACAAUCAUACUAUGCAUAGUUUAUCUUUGUUGUUGAUUCACGGGGUUGAUAUUAUGACUAUGGUCUUUUGAGCCUCUAAUCACCUGUCUAGCUUAGCCCCACAACUACAUCAUUGAGCGGGGAUAUGAGAACUAAGUUUAAUGCAUUUAUAUUUCAUCCCAUAAGUGAACCAAAUAGGGAACUUAGGUAUAUUCCUAUCGUAAAUGCAAAUUUUAACGUCAUUCUGUAGAAGAUUACAACCCUAUUCUAUUAACCCCAUGUUCUAUGCUCUUGUUCCUCCUUCCAGGUUCACAAGAUGAUAAUGGAUGUAUUCUAAGGGUAGUGGAUCCUUAAAAUAGUAAUAAAAAGGAUAAAUAAACAACCAAAUAUGAUAAAUAAUCAAAAUCAAAUCAAUUCAUAGUAAGAGUAAUCAUGUUCUUGGCCAUAACCCCAGAAAAAGGGUGUCUAGCCGCUCAUGGACAUAACCCUAAUCGCAAUGAUAGAAGACAUGUUAAAAUCCACAAACAAACCAAAUUUAUGGAAUAAAAACCCUAAUUUAAUUUUUCUCCAGCCUCCCUCAAAGUUUCAAGGUUGUCCAAGGUGUGUAACAUAAUGUUUAAGGGUCCUAUUUAUAGGAGGACACAAGCUUCCGAUUUUGACAUAGCGGUAUGCCACACCCAUAUCAUGGUGACUAGGGUUUAUGGAACGAACUUAUCAUGGUUAAACAAUUAAAUUGUUCAUUUAAAAUUCCCCCAAGUCCAUGGUACGGCCCUAAUGCGAUGCCUAAGCUCUGUGGCACGCCAAUGACCAAAAUAUCCGCUUUUGGUCAAGUCUUGUCCCAAGUGUUUAUCCAUCCAUUCCAAGCCUUGUGAUGUUGUUUUAAAUUGAUUUCCAGAUUUUGCAUCAUACAUACAUCAUAAUUAUUAAUUCACCAAGCAUUCAAUAGCAUUAAACACCAUGUAUUAUAGCUCAAAAUGACAUACAAUUCAAGACGAUGAACUAGAAACUUAAGCUAAGAAUACUAGUUUUGUCCUUUUGAUCUUUAACUUAUUGUUUUGUCUCUUGACUUGUUUCAAAUGAAAAUUAUACACUAUAAAAAAGUUAUUACAGACUUAAUUACACAAUCAUACCCUUAGGAACACAUUACACACACUAGAAUCCAUCGAGAUCAACUAGAAUAAUACAUAACUCAAGCUAGUGAUACUAGUUUUCUCGUCUAAACUCUAAGUGACCAAAUUGAUUCUAAACUUGUUUGAAAAAUACCUUAAACAUUCCAGUAAAUUAUUUGAACUCUUACAUGCUCAUUUAUACAAUUAUUUACUCAUUAAUAACAAGAUAAGUCUUAAAAAAAAGGCUAAAUAGUCCCGAAUAGCAAUACUGAGGUGCAUAAAUUCACCUCAGAUCAUCACCCCACACUUAAAGCCUUGUUCAUCGUCAAAAAGCUCUUCAAUCUAAGAAUAAUAAUUAGAGGAGACUCCAAACUUCUAAUACAAGAAAUAAAUUCAAUCUAACACUACAAUGACUUCACAGAAUGCAAGUUUUUACACUAAGCAUGUUAUACACAAUUGAAAGCUCAAGAACACUACUCCAAAACAUCCUAGCCUAAAUAAUUGACUCACCAAGUUGUCAAACUCAUACAUAUUGCUCAAUCAAAUACAUCAUACAAAUCACCCAACUAUCAUCAAACAUGUUUCCUCACCACAAGAGAGUUCCAUAUGCUCACUCACAUAAAUGAAAUUUAUCACAAAAUGGGUACAAGAAUAAAAUUAUGCCUACCCUCACAGAGAAUUCAUAUGUUACACAAGAUGAACCAUAUGCUUUCCCUUAGUAUAGUGCUCUAAUAAUAUCAAAAUUUUAAGGCUCAGGAUCAAGUAGGUCUUUAAGGGUUGUAAUGUAGUCUAAGGUAUGGUUAGGAACUAUUUUGGCUAGUAAUAGUGACUAUCUCCCUAAGCGCUUUAAUACAUCACAUGAACAUUAAGAUAUCUCUAUUAACAUCUAAUAUUCACCAUUUCUAUACACCCAUAUCUUUUGUUUUCCCCUAUCUCAUUAAGAUAAUUCACAUACAGUAUGGUGGGAGUGUUAUUUCUAAACACAUUAUUCAAGGUUGAACAAUCUUCAUUCUUUUCACUAGACAACUCCCAACCACAACACAUAUCGAUUUUCAAUGCCAAUAGCCAUUUCUUGUGGGCUUCACUUUCACCUUUUCCCUACUUAAAUUUCAAACUCCUUAACUCAAUUUAUUUUUAACUAAAUUGCUUAGGAGCUUUGGAUCAAAUUAUGGUCAAUCAAAGAAAGGGAUAAAUACUACAUAUGAGGCUGUCAAAGAAUAAACUAAAAGAUCAACAGAGUUAACUAGGAUUAUGUACAAGGGUAGGUCAGAACGAGGGUAUAAAUAUGGCUAUCAAAGAAAUGCCUAUAUCAUCUCCUAAACCCACACUCUUUAUUUUGCUUUACACACGCACCAAGCAAGUUCUAGACAUCAAAUGCAACAAGAAAUAUACAAUAACUUCACACACAUAUGGCACAUGCUCAAAUCAAGUAGGAUCAUCAUAUACUCGCAACCACACAAUAUCAUGAAUUCAAUAUUAAGCCAACAAUGUACAAGAGUCAUAAACUAGAGCCUAGGAGUCUCAAAAGUAAUAAUUCAUACAAUCAACAUAUUUUUUACAAAUAAAAAUACUUGCAUCACACAAUCACACAUAGCACCAACAAGAACAUCCGACUUAUUCCUAACACAAAAAUUUAAAAUUUACUCCUAAAAAGAAAAAUGAUACUGGGUUCAAGGAGCAUCCCAAUGGAAGAGAAUCGAAAAGAACAACCACAAGGUAGGUGAGGUAUGCACCUAUUAGACUGACCUAAAUAAACUAAAAACUAAAAAGAGAAAAUAUUUUUGUAAUUUUUUCAAAUUUUCCCAAAACUAGAAAACAACAACAACUAAGACUCAAAAUCCAACAACAUCACUUCACCUGAAACAAUGGGAAUUUUCCCAGCCCACACUUAAAAAUCUAAUCUAUCCCCAAAGUAUACUUAAAAGUAGAGAUAGAGAUACUCCUUGAGGCCUCUAAGCCUAGCUAGCAGCAUCUUUUAUCAUUAAAAAGGUUCGGGGACCCCACACUUAGUCUUCGCUAUGCUCCUUAACUCAGGUUUCCAGUACUUAGACUUCCCAUAAACCUGUGACUCAACAAAAAGAAACUACAUGAAGUAAAAAACUAAAAUACUAAAAAUAAAUACCUACCUUAACUUGGGUUGCCUCCGAAGUAACGCCUGAUUUAGUGUCGCAACACGACCCACAUACACUUUUUCCUCUACCUUGAGGAUAUGAAUUUCACCCUCAAGCUCGCAUCCAUCCUUUUGGUUCACUCAUAAGGUACUGGUACAAAGAUGAAGGAACCUAGUAAUGGAUGGUGGAUAGUAAACCACUCGGCCUUGAAGUGAGGCAUGUUUUUAUGUUGCUUGUCUGGUGCAAAUUUAAGAAUAUAAGAUUCUUGUUCCUUAUCUUCACACUCUUCCACUAUUUCAUAUGACUCCAAAGAGAUGCCAUUAUCUAAACAUAAUGUAUAAAAGUUCUUUGAAUGAGACCCAACCAAUCCCACUUCCAAAUUUACACCAUCCACAACACACUCACUCUUAUUCACCUUCUCAAUGUCAGUUUUAAGAGAAAGAUAACAGUUGAAUUGCUGAAAUUCUUAUGUCUACUCUACAGAUUGGCUACUAUCCACCUCAUCUAGUAAAGGUCCAAACCAUUCACUUCCCUAAAAAUUUAGACAAUAACCUUCUUGGUAGGGUCCUAGGAUGACAUAUCACGAAGCAUGAUAGAAAAGUAAAAUAAAAUAAAAAGAAAAAUAUUAAACUAUGUACAACUCAAUAUAGAAAAAUUAAAAAUAAGACAGUUGCCUAUUUACAAUUCCCCAACAAUGAAACCAAAAUCUUGUUGCAUUGAAGCCCACACGCAAGUGUACAUGGUCUCAUCAAGUAAUAUGGUGGCCUUAUAAAAAGCCAAAUAUCGAUUCCACAGGGACUUGUAUUGACAACUAUUUAAAUCUAGUUCACUAUAAAGAUUAACAAGUUUUCCCAUAACCAAAAGAGUUUGGAAAGUUAAAACUAAACAUAAACUUAACAAUGCAGUAAAUUAAAGGUCUUGGACAAUCAAUGGGGAGAAACCCAGGGAUAAGGCUCUGCAACCAAUCAUACUAUGCUAUUGAACUUCAUUUUUUAGGUUAAAAUAUCUUGGUUGUUGAUUCAUGGGGUUGAUACUAUGACUAUGGCCUUCUGAGCCUCUAAUCACCUAUCUAGCUUAGCCUACAACUACAUCGUUGAGCGGGGAUGUGAGGACUAUGUUAAAUGCAUUCAUAUUUCAUCCCUUAAGUUAAUAAAAUAGGGCACUUAGGUAUAUUCCUAUCCUAAAUUCAAAUUAUAACUGCAUUCUGUAGAAGAUUAUAAUCCUAUUCUAUUUACCCCACGUUCUAUCCUUUUGUUCCUUCUUUGAUGUAUUCUAAGGGUUGAUAAUCUUUAAAUCGUAAUAAAAAGGAUAAAUAAAAAACCAAAUAUGAUAAAUAAUCAAAAACAAAUCAAUUCAUAACAAGAUUAAUCAUGUUCUUGUCCUUAACCCCAGAAAAAGAUGUUUAGCCUCUCAUGGACAUAACCGUAAUCGCAAUAAUAGAAUACAUGUUGAAAUCCAUAAACAAACCAAAUUAAUGGAAUAAAAACUCUAAUUUAAGUGAUAUAAAUCAUCCCUUACAGUUUUAAGGUCGUUCAACGUGUGUAACAAAAUGUUUAAGUAUCCUAUUUAUUGGAGGAUACAAGUUUCCAAUUUUGAUAAAGUGGCGUGCCACACCCAUAUUGCGGUACCUAGGGUCCGUGUCAAAACAUUAUCAUAGUUAAAAACUGUAAUUUUUUAUUUAGUAUUCCCCCAAUUCCUUGUCACAGUCCUAACACGGUGCCUAAUCUCCGUGGCAUGCCAAUGAUUUCAAAAUAUCUGUUUUUGGUCAAGUCUUGUCCCAAGUGUUUGUCCAUCCAUUCCAAGCCUUGUGAUGUUGUUUUUAAUUGAUUUAAAGAUUGGGUAUCAUACAUAUAUCAUCAUAAUUGAUUCCUUGAGCAUCCUAUAGCCUCAAAAACCACGUAUUAGAACUCAAAACGACAUACAAUUCAAAACGAUGAACUAGAAACUUAAGCUAAAAUACUAGUUUUGUCUUUUGGAUCUUUAACUCAUUGUUUUGUCUCUUGGAUUGUUUUAAGUGAACAUUAAAAACUAUUAAAAAGUUAUCUGACAUAUAAUUAUACAAUAAUACCCUUAGAAACUCAUUACACAUACUAGAAUCCAUCUAGAUCAACUAGAACAACACAUAGCUUAAGCUAGUAACUCUAGUUUUCUCGUCUAAACUCUAAAUGACUAAAUUGAUGCUAAAAUUAUUCGAAACACACCUUAAACAUUAUAUUCAAGUAUUUUAAUACUUAUAUGUUCAAUUAUACAAAUAGUUACUCUGUAAUCACAAGAAAAACCCUCAAAACAAGGCUAACUAAACCCAAAUAGCAACACUGAGGUGCAUAAAUCCACCUUAGAUCAAUGAUCCCGGUAGUUAAGGUAUAGUGGUGACAUUGAUCUGUAGAUAAGGAUAUUUGGCAGAUUGAUUUUGAUAUGUGUAGUUCUUAUCCCCAGCUCUACGUUGAUUCAGGGAUUUUUUUGAGUUAGUUUGAGGACGAACUAGAUUUUUUUUAGUGGUGGAUGAUGUAACAACCUGCUUUUUGAUGAAAUAUGUGAAAUUUAUGAGUUUGUGUCAUUUGACUAUUUUAUCCCUCUUCGUAGUUGCAUUAUGAUAUUUCUAGGGUGUGGGGGCGAUUGACAUAAUUUUUAAUGUAUUUUGGUAUCAUUUAUGCGAUAUUGUGAUUUUUGAUGGCUUUACGAGCCUUAUUUUGGACUUAUGUGGAUAUCUUUUGAUUUGUGUGAUGGAUGGCUGAAUAGACUAUGACAGAAUCUCCGAAAUAUUGAUGUUAGCCUAGAUAGAACUUUGAUUUAGGUCUCGAUGCACCUGAGCUUAUUUCGACCUAUUGAUCGAAAAGUUAGAAAAAUGGAAAUAUGGGUGUGGAAUCCAUAUUUGGUUAAAAUGACCUCGGAUGGAAAAUACGACUUUACCAGUAGAUCCGAAACGUUAAUUUUAGGAGGUAACAUAUUUGGUAUUAUUUAAGGCUUUUAAAUCUCAUUUCGAUCAUCGAUUUGGAAAAUUGUAAUUUUAGAUUUUGGGGGUCAAAUUUGUGAAAUCGAUGUUUUUUCAAAAAUCUAUUAUUUUCAUUGAGUCUGGAGCAUCGAAUUUAGUGUGUUUAAAUAGUUUGUUUGCGUGUGUCAUACUCCAAAUGAAUUUUGGGCACCCCAUCGAAGUUCGUUUGGACUUAGAAAAAUCUGCACUAUAGCAGAUCUUUCUGUAAUAUAUAGGAGCUUUUUUACCUCUUUUUUAGCCCAUUUUGUCGAUUCUUUCCCUUUGCCUCUUGAGAGUUAAAUUCUAAAAUAGUGUGAGAGCUUAAAAGUGAAGCUUGAGGGAGCUUAGGAAGCUAGAUUACCAUCUAUUGCUUGAUUCUCUUUUGGAUUUAAGGUAAGAAUUCACCUUUUACUUAGUAAUUUCUUGAUUAAUUUUUCAAAUCACAAAAAAUUUUAGGGCUUGAUUUUAAACCCCAAUUUCACCUUUUUUUCACUUGAAUACUGUUUUAAUCUUAUAAUUACUAGUUUUUCAUCCAUUUAACCUUCAAAACAACUCUGAUCUUGAUUUUAACCCAGAUUUUAAAGAUUUUACCCAAUAAAGCUUAAAAAUGGUAAUUCUUUUAUUUGAGCCUCAUUUUUUACUCGAUUUGACUUGUGUUUUCAGAUGUAGGUUUCUAAAGAUGUUGGAAACAUGUUUUUUAAGUAAAGUUAAGAUUUUUUCCUUCUCUUUUAAAAAAUCCAUUUUGGAGGUCCGUUUUGACCCCGAACCAAAAAUAGUCAACACUAGUGUCGUUAAUUUUGUUUUGAUAUGUAAUUUCAUAUUUGAUGUUUUUAGUCAAGUUUGGAACCGUUUGUGAAAAGUAAGGUCAUGGACUCAAAGUGUAACAGAUUGGUUUCAACAUUCGAGGUAGGUUAUUGCUUAACUCUUUAAGUUUGGCUGAGUAGUAAAUAAUGGUAUAAAAUGCAUGUUAAGGGUGGGAACUAAUCAUAAAAAAUGGAUAUCUAUGUGUUGUGUUCGAGUGGGGGCCUAUAUGUGAUAUAGUUAUUGAAAUUACGAUAUUACUGAUAUGUAUGACCGUGUGGGGUCCUAUACGAUAUUGAUAGCCUUGAAUACAUGUGAAUAAUUAUAUUGUAUUGUUGCAAAUGCUUAUUAUGGUACACUUGGUGUAUUGAGAUAUAUAUUCAUACUUUUGACAUAUGAAAACAUGUGGAAAUUCAUGGAUGAAUGAAAAUAAUAAAUGAAUAUUGGCUCACGUGGUUAUGAAAAUGUAUCACUGUGGUUGGUUAUGGAAAUUUAUCAUGUGAUUGACUACGGAAAUACUCAUUGUGAUUGGUUUGAGCAUUACAUCCUCAUACCAUACUUAUUCAUGAAACAAAUGGUACCACUGUGGAAGCACCUGAGAAACAUAGACAACACCUUUUUAUGACAAAAUAUGACAUCUUGUAAAACCCUCCUCGAGGUAUAUGCUGGGGAUAUAUAUAUAUGGAUUGUAUAUGGGUUGACAAACUCCUAUGGUUCCCACAUCAGGAUGCUUGCCUCCGUAUGUGUAUGCACAGAUUGUGUGGAAAUUCUGAAGGUUGUACGAUGAUCUUGUGCAUCAUCAUAAUCAUUAUCAUUGAACUUUCUUUAUUAUGUUUAUGUUAUGCUUGUAUUUUCGUAUUGACUUGUCAUCUAUCUAUUUGUUCUAUCUUGACUUGUUAAGUCUAAUUGUUCUAUCUUUCUUUAUUUGUACUUGAUGAUCUUGAUUAUACAUGUUUGUCUUCUGUCCUACUUGUAUGUGAUAUUGUGUGUAUUUGUAUCCCUAUCUAGUGUAUUACUAUAUUAUGUGUGGAUAUUGUAGAACUAUCAGUGCAAGCGGUGUGGGCUAUCGUUGUGGGACAUUUUCUGGUUGCAGGUGACGUCUUUUUAGUAUAUUUUGUAAGCUUUAUUUACUACUUUUCUUUGUCGUCCUAUGAUACCUACUGAGUACAAGUGGAUCAUAUUCAUGCCUACUGCGGCCUUUCGGUGCAGGUCCUAGCUUGAGUGCGCCUCAGCUUUCUUGACUCGGGCAAUUUUUGGAGCUUAUAAGGUAGCGGUUGGACAGUCAUGCAUUUGGAGUCCACCUCUAUCUUUCUAUAAUAGUUAUGUCUUUAUUAGUAUUCGGAGACAGAUGUUGACACCUGGUUUUGGGAGUUUUGGCUGCACUAUUGUGUUUCUUUACAUAUUUCUUAUACUUAUAUGGUUUGACUUUUACUACUACAAAAAACAGUUUUUGCGAUCACAAAAAAGCGACCACAACAUGUGAUCGCAAUAAAAGCGACGACAUGUGGUUGCUUUUAUAUUUUAAAAUUAUACAUAAUCAUUUGAAUUUUGUAAUAAUUUUUUACAUUAAUUAUUAUGUUUUUUGAAAAUUAAAAGCAACCACAAGUGGUCACUUUUUAAUUAAAAAAAUUAAAAUAAUAUUUUUAUAAAAGCGACCACUUAUGGUCACUUUUAAUUUAAAAUAAAUUUAAAAUAUUAACCAAAAAACCGACCACCUUUGGUCGGUUUUUGAUAAAAAAAAUUUAAAAAUUUAUUUUAAGGAAAAAGAACAACAAGUGGUCGGUUUUGGACUAAAAAAAUAAAAAUAAAAAUAUUUUGGAAAAGCGACCACAAGUGGUCGCUUUUAUUUUAAAAAAUAAAUUAAAAAUAUUUUUACAAAAGCGACCACAAGUGUGGUUGCUUUUUGAUUUAAAAAAACUAGAAAAUAAAAUUAUUCACAAAAAUUGACCACUUGUGGUCGCUUUUAUUUAAAAAAUUAAAUUGAAAAUACUUUUUAAAAAGCGACCACAAGUGAUCGCUUUUCUUUACAAAAAUUAAAAAUAUUUUUGAAAAAGCGACCACAAGUGGUCGUUUUUUAUUUUAAAAAAAAUUGAUAAAGAAAUUUUUUACAAAAAACUGGCCACUUGCGGUUGCUUUUAUUUAAAAAUUAAAUUAAAAAUCGAUCACUUGUAGUUGCUUUUAUUGAAAAAAUUAAAUUAAAAUAAUUUUCAAAAAGCGACCACUUGUGGUCGCUUUUGGAUUUAAAAAAAAUUAUUUAAAGCUUUAUGAUAAAAAAACUUUCUUAAAAAAAUGAGACCACUUGUGGUCUCUUUCUUUACAAAUUAAACUAAACCAAAUUAUUUAUACAAGAGAGACAACAAGUAGUGUCUUUUUAAUUAAAAAAUAUAUUUUAAUUAUUAUAUGUGAAAUCAAAUAUAUUUUUAAUGAAUAUAAGUUUUUGUAGUUACACCGAUCAUAUGUAGUCGAUAACCUAUAUAAUAAUAAAAUUAAUUAAACUUAAAUUUUGUAAAAAAAUUAUACUAAGAAAUAAACUAAAAAUAUAUUAAAUAAAUUACGUUAAGCAUAAUAUUUAUCUUUUACUUAUGUUUUAAUAUAUAAAAUAAACAUAUUUUCCGUUGUAUAUACGUUAAAUUACGUUAAAUAAAUAAAUUACAUUGACCAUGAUCUUUGUAUAAUGAAUAUAUCUAUAUCAUACAGUUGAGGUAAUAAUACUAUGCUAUUGGACUUAUAAUAAUGUAAUGUACAUAUAUAUAUAUAUAUAUANNNNNNNNNNNNNNNNNNNNNNNNNNNNNNNNNNNNNNNNNNNNNNNNNNNNNNNNNNNNNNNNNNNNNNNNNNNNNNNNNNNNNNNNNNNNNNNNNNNNNNNNNNNNNNNNNNNNNNNNNNNNNNNNNNNNNNNNNNNNNNNNNNNNNNNNNNNNNNNNNNNNNNNNNNNNNNNNNNNNNNNNNNNNNNNNNNNNNNNNNNNNNNNNNNNNNNNNNNNNNNNNNNNNNNNNNNNNNNNNNNNNNNNNNNNNNNNNNNNNNNNNNNNNNNNNNNNNNNNNNNNNNNNNNNNNNNNNNNNNNNNNNNNNNNNNNNNNNNNNNNNNNNNNNNNNNNNNNNNNNNNNNNNNNNNNNNNNNNNNNNNNNNNNNNNNNNNNNNNNNNNNNNNNNNNNNNNNNNNNNNNNNNNNNNNNNNNNNNNNNNNNNNNNNNNNNNNNNNNNNNNNNNNNNNNNNNNNNNNNNNNNNNNNNNNNNNNNNNNNNNNNNNNNNNNNNNNNNNNNNNNNNNNNNNNNNNNNNNNNNNNNNNNNNNNNNNNNNNNNNNNNNNNNNNNNNNNNNNNNNNNNNNNNNNNNNNNNNNNNNNNNNNNNNNNNNNNNNNNNNNNNNNNNNNNNNNNNNNNNNNNNNNNNNNNNNNNNNNNNNNNNNNNNNNNNNNNNNNNNNNNNNNNNNNNNNNNNNNNNNNNNNNNNNNNNNNNNNNNNNNNNNNNNNNNNNNNNNNNNNNNNNNNNNNNNNNNNNNNNNNNNNNNNNNNNNNNNNNNNNNNNNNNNNNNNNNNNNNNNNNNNNNNNNNNNNNNNNNNNNNNNNNNNNNNNNNNNNNNNNNNNNNNNNNNNNNNNNNNNNNNNNNNNNNNNNNNNNNNNNNNNNNNNNNNNNNNNNNNNNNNNNNNNNNNNNNNNNNNNNNNNNNNNNNNNNNNNNNNNNNNNNNNNNNNNNNNNNNNNNNNNNNNNNNNNNNNNNNNNNNNNNNNNNNNNNNNNNNNNNNNNNNNNNNNNNNNNNNNNNNNNNNNNNNNNNNNNNNNNNNNNNNNNNNNNNNNNNNNNNNNNNNNNUGAUCGAUGAAUGAUGUAGUAAAAAACUAGCAGAAUCUAUCCAAACAUAUUGAAUACCUUGAUUUGAAAUGAUCGAAGUAAUAAUGAACUCUACGUUGAAGUUAUAUUAAUAUAAUAUUAGUGAAUCAAAUUAAUUGAUAACUCAUCUAAGCAUAUUAUGAAUUACGUCGCAUUAUAUUGCGAGGUAAUGUACUCAUAUAUGUGAUGUAUAUAGUAUGUAUUUAGAACCUGAUAGUGAUAGAGUUUAGGUAUAUAUAGUAUAUAUUAUGUAGCAAUGUACGUAGUACGUAGUUCGAAGCUUACAUUUAUAUAUAUAUGUAUUUCUCUUGUGUAGUGAUGUUCGUAGUAUGUAGUCAAAAGUAAAGCUAAUUAAAUGUAUCCAGUUAUAUAUUGAAUAUGCUGAUAUCAUGCGAUCGAUCGAUCAAGGUAAUAGUAUACUGUUGAAGGAAUAAUAAUAUAAGAUAAACAAACCGGUAAUUCAUCUGAGUAUAUGUAAAUUGUAUUAUUAUGGGGUAAUAAAAUCGUGUAUGUGAUGUAUAUAGUACGUAUUUGAAAGUUGAUAGCAAUCGAAUAUAUGUAUAUAUUUCGUGUAGUGACGUAUGCAGUAAUCAAAAUCUAGAUAACUGAAUCUAUAUAUCAAAAUAUUUUGAAUAAUACGUUGAUAUCAUACUAUUGAGGAAAUAUAUAUACUACUUUUGUCAAUAUAGACAAGGGUAUAUUGUUGAAGUUGUAAUAACAUAAGCUAUUUAACCGAUAAUUUAUAUGAUUAACAUGCUGUAUUACGAGGUAUAUAUAUAAUAUCGUAUUUAAAAGUUAAUUAACCAAAAAUUAAUCUUAAUUUACAAAAUGCAAUUAUAUAAUUAUAGAUUGAGGAAAUAUACUACUCGUGUUAAUGUGAUGAUAAAAUAACUAAUUAUCUGAUUUAUAUAAACAUUGCAUUAAAUUAUUUGGAUGUUAUUAUAAAUAUUAUAUAAUUUAUUAAAAUUUUAAUUUUAAAUAAAAAUCGACCACAAUUAAUCGUUUUUCGAUAGUAAAUUUUUUUAAAAAUAAAUCGAACACUUAUAUGUGAUUUUGUCAAUAAUUUUGUUAUAGUAAAUAUUUGACACAACCCAACCCAUCAAAAUACCCCUUUUCCUUUGUAAUUACCCUAAUCUCAAUUCCUCACAAUGACCCUUACCCCAACAACUCUACGACAACAACUCACUCGACCCGACCUCUCUCACAGCAACUCACUGACGACGAUAGCAACUCAGCGACGACAACAACCCAGCGACGGUGACAACUCAACAACUCAGUCACCGACAAUCACGUCUCACGACCCGACCUCGACUCGACAAUAACUUUUGGUAAUUUUUUUAUUUGAAUUUUGAAGUACAAUUUUCUUGUAGCCUCUUGUCCAUAAGGGUGGCACGCUUUACACCCAUGCACAAGACUCUACUUGAUGCAAAUUUUAGACUCCCUAGGACACUUUAAAACAUUAGGAUCUAAUACCAAGUUUGUAAUACCCCGAGAGUACACUCUUGGUGCCACACGAUGCUUAUGGUCCUAAGAGACCACAAGAUAAUCCAUGAGCUGGUACUUACUGUGAGCACUGAGUAAAACUAAUAACAAAAAAUCAUAAGCAGAAUUUAACUGAGUAAUUCAUAAGGUUUUAAAUCAUAGUUCUGAUAAUGUUGUAAAAAAAUACUGACAAUACUAAUAAAAUGGCUGACAAUGACAACUGAAAAUUUAAGGCAGACUAACUGUCUAUACUAGACUGAAAACCUCUAAACUGUUUGACUGUGGAGUUGAUGGAAUAAGCCCCCAACUAACUCCGACUAACUAAAUAGCUAAAUUACUGACAUAACCGAAUAUAAUGUAACUCGUCCUCGAAGGAUGAGGACUCAUCACGGCUGCUACUACUGAUGCACUGGAAAUUCUAGGUACGAUCGAGAACCCAAGUGUCCGAACCUAUGAUAUAAGAUAUCAUAGCGCAAGAAAUAAGUAUGUGAUCAGUACUUUGAAUGUACUGGUACGCUAAAUGAGAUUAGGCUAAUAUACAGGGUUUCAUGUGUAUGAGUAAUAACUGAAUGAAUAUAUCACAUGAGGUAUCGAGUAAGAAUACAUGAAAUCUGUAAAGACUGAGGAUGCCUGACCAAGCAUAAAACAUGUUCUGAAUAUAAUCUGUAAACUAUUAUACUGAAAUAUGGUAACUGAAUAACUGAUAAACUGUAUACUGUGGUCAAGCAAGACUGAAUUGAAUUCUGAAUUGAGUACUAAAACUGUAACUGUGGGACUUAUCAUCUAACCGACAUGCCCUAGUCUAAGCUGACCGGGGUCCAACCUGUGACCCCAGUUGGAAGGGUGCUAAUACCGUGCCACAGGUACUAACAAUGUCUGUGUCAAUCCUAAACUAGCAGGAAGACAUCUUUUCAACCCUAAACUAAUAGGAAGACUCAUGAGAUAUUUGUCAAUAACAACAAGAUCAUACUAAAACUUUGAGGACAAGGCAUGUAGUCAAUAUUCAAAACUCAUUCUUUGAGACAUUUCAUUAAACACUUGCAAUGCGUGACUUAAGCAUGGGGCUGCUUUAUAAACAUGAAAAGAUCGCACAAUCAUAUGACCAAAUCAUAAGCUAAGGGUUUUAUCCUAAAUUCGUAUGAACAUAAUAUGGGCGUCACAAUAUUUAAAACAUACUAUAAUGAAUUCCAUAUGAAAUCACUUGAAAACAUAACAAGGGUCAUUAUUAAAAACGCAAGUAUUUAGGCAUUUUAUCAAACACUUGAAAUUCAUAGUUUAAGCUAAGUAUGGGAAUAGCUUAAAGCUUGUAGUAAUAGCAUGAUUUCAACAUCAAUAUCACUACUUAUGAAUUAAAUUAGUGAACAACAUUAUUCAAAUGUGUGGGGUUUAAUAACAACAAUAAUUUCAUGUAAACAUGGUAUAGAAUCAAAAUUCAUGGGGAUUCAUGGUUAAAAUCACAAUAACUUGUAAAAAUCACAUCUUUGAAUUUGAAAUUAGAUUCUUGAACUCUAUGGGUGGAAGGGACCCAUGGAUGAACAUUUAACAUAGCUUGACUGAGGAAUUCGUGAAGGUUCUUGGUGGUUUUCUUGAAACUUGAAAGGAUAGGGUUUGUUCUUGAGAGAGGAUUACUUUUUUGGAGGGAGUAAUGGGGCACAUAAUGACCCUUUAGGGUUGUAAUUAUGUAUUUUAGAUGGAUUGGGGGCUAUGGGAAAAGACCAAACGGUCCCUAGAAAAUUAAAACGUGAACUGAAAAUCCCAAUUUUGCACCAUGGUACAAUGCGGUGCUAUCACAUUACGCCACUGGAAAAGGACAAUCCCAAAAUUGCACCUUGGCAUGACGUGGCACCAUCUCGGUGCUUCACUGGAAAAAGGAUGAGUGUGAAAUUGCACUCCAACGAGAUGCGGUGCUUGCUUCACCGCUAUUCUUGGCAUGACAUUGGACAAUCGUGGUGCAUCACUGGAAAAGGACGAACGUGAUUUUGGCCAUCACCGCGACAUGACAUAAUCGCGAUGAGCUACUGCUUCUUACUAAAAUUUCCAUAACUUCUCACUCGGGUAUCGGAUUUAGGCAAACUUUGUAUUGUUGGAAAGCUAAUUUAAUUUCCUAUAAUUUGGUAGGUCUUGAGAUAGAAAACUCUAAGAAAAAAAAGAUAUUCUCAUUUGAAGUCGACUAUAAUAAUAUUCUUCUCUAAAACUCAAUCGGUAAGGGAUAUUUUGAGUUGUUUAAUAGCUAGGUGUUAUUGAGGCCUUAAUAAACAUUUAAAUCACUCAUAAAACUACCAAAAACUAUAAUGUACUUUGUAUGAGCAGAAACAUGUCUCUAACAUUGGUUUAAAUUUAUGGGGUAUUAUAGCCCCCUCUUGAAUUUCAAUUAGUAUCAGAGGAGGUCUCACUAACGUUUUGCUUAACCACAUGUGAGUAAACAUCAAAUAGACAAUUAUCAAAUCCUAGGAUAACUUCUUUAAUAUGGACACUCUUCAACAAGACCAUCAUAUUUCAGUGGAUAAUACUACUCGAAUUGGAAAAAUAGAUUCAAAAUCUUUGUGUAAUCAAAUGACUUGCAAGCUUGGGUGGUCAUUAAGAAAGGACCAAAGCACAUACAAGGACUCAAGGACAAAUAGAAGAAAAGGAAAUCAAGUAGCAUGUACCUAGAUGAUUUCAAAAUAGAUAACUCUAAUGGCUGACAUUUGUUAUCCACCAAAAUUUACCUCUGUCAUAGCCCUUCAUCCCUGCAAUCAUCAUCUUCUUCAAUUCAAUGUAUAUAAGAUGUAUAUAUAUUGUAUAAAAAGUAAAUACAUAAAGUGUACAUAAAAUGUAUAUAAAUAUAUAUUAUGUGUAUAUCAACUACAUAAAAAGUGAAUAUGUAAGGUUAAAAACAUCUUCGGGAAAAAUAAUUUUCUUCAAUAUUAAAUACCUUUACUAAAAUAAGGAAAAAUAAAAUCCAUUUUUCUACAUGCAUCCUGGUCAGUUGCAAUAUAUAUAUCGGAGCAUCCUUUACUGAUUUGUCUGUAUAUUACUAGCGCUGGCCCAAUAAUAGUAACGUAGCUAUAAUAUAUUUUGUACGUUAUAAGAUAUUAGCCUUGUUAUAACCUGAAUUUGCAGGAGUUGUAAAAUAAAUCAAAAUUUCACGAAGAACACAUAAUUCGCAAUGUACAUUGCAAACUGCAAUUUUCUACUAAAACAUCAAUAUUACUCAUAACUGUGGCAGGAAAGUUCGAGCCUUUGAGCUUUUCGAACACAAUUGUAAUUGCAAUUUGGUGACUACAAAUUACAGUUGGUACUAAAACAUCAAUAUUACCUUUUAGCUUGUGAUUCUCAUAACUGUGGCAGGAAAGUUUGAGGCUUUGAGCUUUUCAAUAGUUUUGGAUUUUUUCUUCUUCCCCUGAUUGUACUCCUGAGAGAGAUUCAUUUGGAUUAAAUCCAACAAAGAUUGUGAACUCAAUCGUCAAAGCUAAAAAAGAAAGAAAGCAAAAAGCAAAAUGAAAAAUGGAAGCUCAAGGAUUGUAAAAGGAUCACUUGGAACUUUCUGAAGAUUUCUUUGAUUGGACAAAUUUGAAUAGUAAGAAGACUUAUAUGUAUCACCUCUUAUUAUGCUUCAAGAAUCACAGGUUCCUGGUAGAGUGACUCGCUCGAAUUACAAAUCAUUAGCCCCUUCCUGGAAUAAAUUGUUUUAGGAGCUGUGAAUGAAGAAGAGAACAAAAUUCAGCCAACAUGUUCUCCACAAGAGAGCAAGGAUUUCCACUAAAGGUUUCAAGUAAACAUACUAAGAAGAAGCCAACAAAGCUUAAACAUCUAUUAUUUAUACCUAAAAAAUUAAUUGAAACCGGGUAAAAAUAGUGCAACUUUUCGUCUCCGUUCAGAUGAACCUCUCGACCCUGUACUAAACAUCAAAAAAAACAUCAAAGUUUGUUCCUUUUCAAUCAUAUUCUGAUAAAGAAUAAGAAAAUAGAAUGAUCAAACACCACUACAACAACAGUAGUCAUCAGGGACUUGAGGCAAUAAAAUUGAAGCCAACAUAAUUAAGAAAAGAACUUUAUGAAUAAAAGCAUUACUGAACUACAGAAGUAAGCAUUAACCAACUAUAGAAGUACUAAUAAAUUCAUAUAAAGGGUGUGGACCAAAAGAAAUAAAGUGCAGGUGUUAUUAAUUAUUCUCUCUAUUUCAUAUUACUUGACCCUAUGAUAGAUAUCACAUAUUAAACAAGUUUUACUAAAAGUAUAUUUAUUAAAUUAAUUUAUUAAUGAUAUUUUUUACUCCAAAAUUUAAUUUAAUACUAAGAAUAAUAAAAAUUUCUUGAUUCGCUAAAAUAGAUAAGUAAAAUGGAGUAAUUACUUUUGGAGUUUUGCUGUAGAAGCUGACUAAAAUGGAACUGGGGGAGUUUAAUGUGUAAAACUAACAAAAGAUCAGUUAACUCAAAAUGAAAAUUACUUUAUGACAGAUGAAGAGUUCAUUCAUGUAGUUGGUAUGCCAAAAAUUAAAGUAGGAAAAUGAAGUUUGUAUAGUCUAUAUAGAAUUUAUGCAGAAUUGGAUAUCAUAAUUUGCAUAUCACAAAAAUUUUUGAAUCAGUUAUUGCAAAUUUUUCUUUAUUUUGUUGAUCAUAUAUAUAUAUAUAAACAAAAGUAGAAAUACCUGUUGAGAUUGACGACAACUUUUUGUGGGGAAAGAAGUGCAGCCGAAAGAAUAUAGUACCAUUCAAAGAUCCAUUUAUGUAAACGCUUUCUGAAUGAUUUCAUUGUAUAACAUGUUGUAAGUUGAAUGAUCAUCGUUGUCAUCCGGUGUUGAUGGUCAAAUUAAUAGUUUCAUGCCAUUGGAACUUCUUGCUCUUGAUAACGCUACAUAGAGUUGUGAAUGCGAGAAAAUAGGUUCUCGUAAAUAAAUUCCAAUAAAAUCCAAUGUUUAACCAUGAGCUUUAUUUAUUGUCCUAGCAAAACUUAACCACAAAGGAUAUUGUGUUCAUUUAAAGGGAACAGGUAAUUUUUUGUCUGCAGAUGAUAGUAAUGGUAUUUUUGGAAUAAAUAAAUGCGUAUUUUUGAAGUCUCCACUUGAAAUUGUAUCACUUAUAACAUGUUUUUGAAGAUCAGCACAUAUAAGUCGUGUACCAUUGCAUAAGACCUCAGAAGGAUUUAAAUUUCGUAAUAACAUAAAAGGAUAAUUUUUUAAAUGUCAAUUUGUCUGGGGUAAACCGGCAGGAUGUAGAGUAUGUAGAAAAUCUUCAUAUUGACUUUGGUCGUUUACUUCAAUAGUUUCAUCAAAUGCAACAUAUGGUUUAAGAUCACCGGGAAAUUGACCUAUAAGCAAAUCAUUCAUGUCAUGAACAAAGUCAUUUUUUCUUGUUAAAAUCAUGCGUGAAGUCAUUGAAGAUACAUUAGAGGAGCAUGUAUGUAGAUCUGGAUAAGUUAGUUUAAACAAUACAUCCAGUGAUUUAUUUUCAUAAGUAAAAGGUAUAAUAAAACAAUCAGGUAUUUUAACUUUGUCAUUGUUAUAUGUUUUUUCUUGUCCAUUUCCAAUUCUUAGCAAAUAUUCACAGAAUAUCAGACCUAUUUUUUCUUGCAUAUUCUCAGAUAAACGUAGUUUUUCAAGUAGAUUCCAAAUUUUAGAAUAUAAUAAACUUUCUCAAAUAAAAUCAUCUUUCUUUCCACUUCGAACAAUAGGGAGAGUUUGUCUAAAGUCACCACCAAGGACAACAACUUUUCCACCAAAUAGGGUGUUUGUAUCCGUUAAAUGCUUCAAUAGAACAUCAAAAGCUUAAAUUAAAUUCUUUUUGUUCAUACAUACUUCAUCCCACACAAUAAAUUUGGCAUCACGUAUUGAACUUGCAAGCGAUCUUUGUUUACAAAUGUUACAAGAAAAUUAUUCCUCUAUUUCAAUAGGAAAUUUAAAGUAGGAAUGAGCAGUUAGUCCUCCAGGGAGAAUUGAAGCUGCAACACCCGAACUUGCUGUUGCUAAAGCAAGAAAAACUCUUGAGUGUACAACAACUAAUAAAGAUCGAUAUAAGAAAGUCUUACCCGUUCCUCCCAGUCCAUCAAUGAAAAAGGCUCCUAAUUUGUUGGAAAAUAUUCUACUGAGAAUUGUAUCAUAUGCUAUUCGCUGUUGAAUAUUUAGUUUUUCCUGUAGAAGUAAAUCUUCUUCUCUAACAAUGAUGUUUCUUUCAAAUAGACAGUUGUUAGCUUCUUUAAUAACCACUGAAGGUUUUAUUCUCUCCAUAAUAAGUUGAUAUUUGUUAAUAUCAUGUCCCAUUAAAUGAAUAAAAUCAUUGAUAUGAUUCAAAACCAUAUACCUAAUAUCUUUUGUAUUCAUGUUAGGCAAAAUUUGGAAGUUUCUGACAUCGUACCUUCAAAUUGUUUCCAUAUUUCUUUUGGAUUAGUAGGAUUACAAUAGAACAAUAAAGUUGCAAAUGAAAGCCUUAAACUAUAUGGUAUUUGGUAACUUAUAGCUUUAAACAUGUAUUCUAUUAAGUUAUUAUCACAAUGUAACAAGCCUUUUUUAUGCGGAUUCUCUAAAUGUACUAUAAUACUUACCAUCCACUGUAAGUAAAUCUUUAUAUGAUUUUGGUCCUCUAACAUUCAUCAUACUAAUCUGAGGUGAUAUCUUUCUCCUUCUGUUGGGUGACAUAUUACAGCACGGCCAAUGACAGAAUGUUGUUUUCUACGUGUCCACAUUUUGUAUUUUGGUGACCAUACAAAAUAUUUAGGGAAUUCUUUAUAUAGUAAUGAUAGUUGUAUAGCAUUAGGAUUUUUUCUGUUCAUAGUAAAGAAUUCGGUUAACAUUGAUUUUGCUAGCAUUGGAUUAUUUAAAAUCCUAUCGACUUUGUCAAUACUCUUAAAGGAAAUAAAUUGUUGUCCUUUCAAAUGUAAUUGAAGAUGGCAUAUAGCUAGAGUCAUUUCACUUAUUGUGAAUCUAAAUAAUCUCCAGGCUGCCUCAGGAGGCAAAACCCAUCUACCUGAUUGGUAUUCUUUAAUUUCAUUUACAUCGGUAUCUAUAUCAUUGCUAUGUAAUUGAAAUGAGAUUUUGUCAUGUCCUUUACAUAUGUAUUUGUAGAUAUAUUUGAUUACUUUAAUAUCAUAAUAAUCUUCAAUAUUCAUAUGACAGUUGUAUUUGUAUAGUAAAAAGGGAUUAUAUGGAACUACCCACAAAUUGUCUAGAGAAAAGCCUUUCUUUUCAGUGUUUUCUUUGGUUCUUCUUACUUUAUAUAUUGGACAUGAAUUCUAUAAGACCCCGUAAAAUCCUAAAGCUUAAUUCAGUCCUUUAAGCUUGUCAAGGGGUCCUAGACUUACAAAAUUCUAGCUAGGUUCCCAGACAUAGCCUAUUAUUGGACUUCGAAAGUUGAAAAUCCCAUUUUGCCACCUUAAAGUCCUUUACUGAUCCGUAUUUUUAUUAGUUCAUGAUCAGGAAGGUCAAUAGGUGUUCCCGGAAAAGUUUUGGAUUUUUCAAAACACGUUUAGAUCAUGUUUGGAGUCCCAAAAUACUGGACCAAUAUGAUCAUGGCGCACCGUGUUGCUAAUCGCGUUGGUCAACAUUUGUGCAGGAUGCCAGAGCCAAAACUUUUGAGGCUCAAUGCGAUUAUGGCACGACACGUAGAGUAUUGCAUUGCAGCCAUCAACGCACCGUGUCGCUUGUAGAGUCAGCACCCAAUUUUUAGUCAUUAGAUAUCCGUAUUUUUAAGGGUAAAAGGGUCAUUUUCCCAUCCUUAGAUAAACCCAAUAACACGUGAUUCAACCAUUGUUCACCCAAAAUAUAGAGUUUCUCUCAAGUCUCUCUUAAUAACAAGUUAGGGUUUUCAAUUAAGGAUUCAAAUUCAAUACUCAAAUUCAAGAAUCUCUCCGUUAAUCUUUGUAAAAUCAGGAACUAAGGUAUGUCAAGAGUUGAUUUAUGGAUUCCUUUCAUCCAUGAAGUCCAAGAACCCUCUUUCAAAUUAUAAAACGUGAUAUUUAUGUUAUGGGUUGUUUGUAACCAUGUUUAUCUUGUUGUAUGAUUCCCAAGUUGGAAUCUUUAUGUGUUUUCAUGAAACUACGUUAGCAUGCAAGAUGAAAUCCAUGAAUUGAGUUGUUUAUGAUGUGUAAUUUGAUGAUUUUACUUAUGCCUUAAGUUGUGCAUGUAGGGUGUUUGACAAAAUGGCUAGGAGGAUAGAAAUUGGGUAUUGUAGCUCAAUUGUGACUCAAAUAAUAAAUACAUGCUUUACCCUUAUGACCAAGACUGAAUUCCAUGAUAUUGUGUACAUUAUGAGUAUUUGAUGGAAUGUUCAUGAGAUUAGGUUGAUGAAUGUAUGAAAUGUCUAUAUACAAUUCCAUCCAUGUAUAAAUUAUGACAACCAUGUGUUUCAUGAAAUCCUCAACUUAUUGUAUUAUGAAUUGUUGAUAUUGGUUAUCUGUUCACGAAGUGUCAAGUCUUGUCAGUUUCAUACUAUCGAGUCCUGGGGGUACUUGUGCCUAAGAAUUUAUCUGUGUUCUUAGAGCUAGUGUCAGUUUUCAUGAUAUUCCCAUUCAAGCCAUGAUUAUUAGAAUUCAGUCAGUUACAUGACUCAGGAAAACUCAGUACUCUCAGUAAUCUCAGUAAGUUAUUCGAUCUCAGUAGUAUUCCAUCAGUCAACAAAAUUGAGUGAACUCUAUUCAAAUCAGCUAAAAGAUACUAUCAGUAAUAGUUCAGUUUAGUUUAAAUCAGUUCAGUGUCUCUUUAGUUGGGAGUAGUAUUCAGCACUGAGUGAACCCAAGGAUGGGGACUCACCUAUUAGUCUAUAGAGGGUGUGAUCCUUAGAAGCAAUCCUUGUGUUCCAGAACUAUGUAGCCAGCGUAGGUUGAGAUGUACCCUACGAUUUUAGGGAUUUAUACACCUCAUUUGAGUUUUUCCUACUAGAAGGGGUUGAUGGAAGAACUCCUUGUCAGAGAGGGUUUACUCACAGCUUGUCUUUACCCGUAGCACGGUACUGACACCCUUCCAGCUGGGCUUAUAGGUUGGACCCCCCAGUUCAGUUUCGGCAUAUGUUGGUUAGAUGAUUAUCACCCACAGUCUCAGUUUUGGAUGCAGUCUCAGUAAUAGAACUCAGUUUAAUUCUACAAUUUUAGGAAUGUAAGAUACAGUCGCUCAGCUAAGUACGAAACUCAGCUAGUUCCAUCAAAAUUAGGACUGUUAGAUACAGUCACCCAGUUAAUAGUAUAUUAAUUAUAUGAAAUUCAUGUUACCAGUAUUUAGAUUUCAGGACUGUCACAUACAGUCAAUCAGACCAGUUUUUUAUAAUUAGAAAUAUCAGAAACAGUUAUUCCUUUAUCAGUAAUAUGACAUUAGUUCCUCAGUACUCACUAGACUUAGUAUUUCAGUAUCCUAUUAUUAGUACCCAGAUAUCAGUAAAUCCAAGUUAUCAGAAUUUAUGAGUCAGUGUUAUCACGAUCUCAGAUAUAUUUAUGUAUUUAUGCAUGUAUUCUCACAUUCAUGUUUUUUGGCUAGUUAGUAUUGUUCAUACAUAUGAACCAUUGUAUUCAGCCUACCUCACUUACAUACCAGUAUAUUAAAUCAUACUGACGUAUUUGCACUAAGGUCUUUUAUACCAUAGGUUCAAAAGCACGCACUCCAGAGUUUCAGCAGUAUUCUAGUUUCAGUAGUCAGAGUCAACAGUGAGUCCUCAUCAUUCGAGGAUUUUACUUUUUGAUUAUUUCAUUCUUUUAGUACUUAGUUUAUUUUAGUAGAUGAGGUUAGUUGGGGGAUUGUCCUAUCAACUUUUUAUUCAGACAGUUCAAUUUUAGAGGCUUUCAGACUGCAGCAUGUUCAGAAAGUUAUUUUAGUUGUUUUGAUAUUGUUAUACCAUAUUUUCAGUUAUGUAUCAAUAUUAAACCUUAUGGCCUUUCAGUUUAUGUUUCCACAUAUAUGAUAUUACCAUUAUUAUUAGGGCUCAGUUAUAGAUAUCAGUCAUGGGUUAACUUGUAGUCCUUCGAGAUUAUGAGCACCGUGUAGCAUUCUGGAUACCAGAUUUGGGGCGUUACAAACUUUGUAUUAGAGCCUAAGGUUCAACAGCAUCCUAUGAAGUCUGAAAAGCCGCAUCUAGUAGAGUCUUGUACAUGGGUGUGUUGUGCACCACAUUUAUGUGCAGGAGGCUAUGAGAUGUUUUAGGAACAGUUUUCCUUCUUUUAGUAUUCAUGUCGUGCGAGUGAGCAUGAGAUCCAUUCAAACUCUCAGUUUAAUCCCUUCUUUUCUUACAUUUACUGAACAUGCCUCCCAAAAGGGCUAACAAAAGAGGAACAGGGAAUCAGUCAGCACCUCUGCCCAUCCAGGCAGAUCCUCUAGAUAAGAAUGUCUCUCAUGCAGAAUUAAGAACUACAUUCACUACUCCAGCCAAUUUAAUCACAACUCAAAAUUACUGGCCAACUACUGUUCUGGCCAACCCAGUGGCUAAUUCUGCUGCAGCCAGGAUUCGAGAUUUCACCUGAAUGAAUCCUCCCGUGUUCUUUGGUUCUAAGUUUGAAGAGGAUCCACAGGAGUUCCUCGACCAGUUUCAGAAAGUCAUAGAUAUAAUGGAGUGACUUCUAGUGAGAGUGCAGAGUUAGCCACCUAUCAGCUAUAAGAUAUAGCCCAUACGUGGUUUAAGCAGUAGAAGGUAGACAGGGGUGCAGAUGCAGAGCCCAUAGAAUGGGAAGAGUUUGCUACGACUUUCUUAGGUAGAUUCUUUCCCCUAGAGCAGAAAGAAGCCAAAGUGUUAGAAUUCAUCAAACACAGAAAAGGUAGCAUGAGCAUCAAAGAAUACUCCCUCAAGUUCAAUCAAUUAACCAGGUGUGCUCCUCAUGUAGUAGCAGACAGUAGAUCUAGAAUGAAUAAGUUUGUGUCUAGGAUAUCAGGCAGAGUAGUUAAGGAGUGCAGGACUGGGAUAUUGAUAAAGGAAAUGGACAUAUCUAGUCUUAUGUUCCAUGCUUAACAGAUUGAGGAGCAGAAACUUAAGAAAAAGGAGAGGGAAAAUAAGAAGGCCAAAACUGGUAGUUUUAGUUUUUCUCAGCCAGGAUCGUAGGGUGGUAACCGUUCUCAGUAUAGAUAGAAGUUUUUAGCCCCAAUUCCAUCUUCAACUAGUGCACCAGUACCAAAGUUUAAAAAUGACUAUAGAGAUGGGGCACCAGGCUCCAAGGCCUAGGGUAGUGAGAGUAGGGGUUUUACUCAUCUACUUUGUGAAGAGUGUGGUAAGCAUCAUAAGUGUAUAUGUAGAGCCCGUAGUGAUGUAUGUUUCAAAUAUGGAGGACAGGUCACAAGUUCCAAAAUUGUCCUAGGCCUGGCCCUAGAAGUAAGCACGCUCGUCUUUCAACUCAGUUUGGUCCCCCGAAUCAACAGGGUGCAAAUUCUAGUGCUAUCAGUGGGCAACACCUAAACAAACUGUAUGCACUUCAGUCCCAAAAGGAUCAGGAAAGUCCUUCUGAUGUAGCCACUGGUAUGUUACAUAUCCCUCAUUUACAUGUUCACAUUUCUACAAAUUCAGGAGCUUUUUUUUUUUUUGUAACUCUUUGCAUAGCAGUCAACUUUAAGGUUAGACCAAAUAUUAACAGGACCUUUUUCCAGUCCCCACCCUAGUGAGCUAGUCUAACACAGCCCGAUAGGUAUACAAGAACUGUCCGGUUAUGAAAUCUCUAAAUUUCAGGCCUUUAGGUUCCAGUAGUAAUACUAGUAUGUGUAGAAAAUCUAUAAGGAAAGAUAAUUCCUGACCCAUUCCUAUCUCAGUGCAAAGUUUUGUACUUCAACCAUCAUGAUACUUAUGCAUGCUUUUCAUUUCAGUCCUACAAAUACAGUUUAUAUCCAUGAACUUUUCAUAGAAUAGUGUGUGUUUUAAGUUCCUCGUAUGAGGAGUCCAAGUUCAUCCAAUGUUGCGGAUCAUGUUCCACAAAUUCAGAAAUUCCAAACCCAAUUUGUGCAGCUCAUGACUCAUGCACUCAUGUUAUUCUUUACAGUAUGCUUAGCACACGAUUCAUGACUUCACUCCUAGUGUUCAGUCAAACUCAGAUUAUGCCACGUAUACCCUCAGUUUAGAUCCCUUGGUGAAUCUGUAGUGUUAAUGUUUUAUUCCAUAGGCCUCAGUUACACUGUCAGUUCAGUAAUCAAUAUUCAGUAAAGGACUCAGAUAGUCCUACAGAACCAUGACAUUCAGCUAUCAGUUAGUUAGCCAUCAAAAUUCAGUACUCCCAUGCCAGUCUAACCCUCAGUUAUAGAAAACCAACAUUUAGUCUCAGUUAUAGUCUUAGUUACGAUUACAAUUUCAAUUACCGUGUUAGCUACAAUAUCAAUCCCAAUCCUAGUCAAGUAGUCAGAUCAGAAACUCAGUCCAAUUUUAAGAUUAUCCGACUAUAGCAUAUGGCCAUCAGUUACUCAUUUAUUAGUAUUAUAGUACCUAAGUUUACAAAGUAUUUCUAAAUCAUGAGUAGAUGCCUGGUCUUAUGUUCCUAAGGUAAUACAGUUUCCCCUCACUCAUGCUCAGUUACCUCAUGUUUCCUAGUCAGUCAUUACCUCCUAUGUAUAAUACCCUAUAGUCUCAGUCCAGCUAUCCAGACUAAGUACAGUUCAGUCUUACACGCCCAGUAUUCAGAUAUAAGUUAUUCAGUUAAUCAGAUAAAGUUAGUAUAUAUUUAUUCAUUCGUGCUCAGUACCCACGUAAAUAUUUUUAGUAGUCUCAAUUGCAGUGCGUAAGGUCUAAUCACUUUAUCUUAGCUUUAGAUCUCGGAUAUCUAGCUGCGAUUUAGUUCGUUGGUGCCUUGUACAUCGCCCUAGUUUUCCUCAGUAUCUCAGCAAAAUUAGUAUUUUUUGAGGGACCUAGUGUCCCAAAGGGGAGAUACACUAUAAUUCCUUGAAAUUUUAUGACAUAAACGGGCCGCUCUCUCUUUUUGUAACGAAUCCAGUUUUGGGUAAAGAGUACACAUGAGUUGACCCUCAAACUCUGACCUCAGCCGUAAGCCGUGUAUUUAAGGUAAUCAGUUUAGAUCACGAUAUCCAGCUCAUGUAUCACGUUCCAAACAUAAUUAUGUUCAUGUUUUUCUGCUCGUACAUAUCUAGUAAUUAAUUUCAGGCUCAUUAGCAUUUUCAAUUUUUGGAAACAGUCUCCCUUGAACUUAUCCAUUUCCAUGAUCAGAUUUCCAUUAUAAACUUAGUAUCAAUUACCAUUGCAUAUUCAGUUAUCCAUUCAUGAACCAGUUAACCAUGCAUCAUAUAUACAUGUUCAGUAUGAUACAUUCAGUUUAUCAGUUAUGUCAGUCAUGGAAUUAUGUUCCAGUUAUUCAUGUUCAGUAUGUAUGUCAGUUUAUCUUUUCUUCCCGCUCAGUCAGUCUUAUUCGAGGAUGAAUAUUCUCAAGGAGAAGAUAUUGUAAGACCCCGUAAAAUCCUAAAGCUUAAUUUAGUCCUUUAAGCUUGUCAAGGGGUCCCAGACUUAGAAAAUUCUAGCUAGGUUCCCAGACUUAGCCUAUUAUUGGCCUUCGAAAGUUGGUAAUCAUAUAUCGCCACCUUAACAUCCUUUAAUGGUCCGUAUUUUUAUUAUUUCAUGAUCAGGAAGGUUAAUAAGUGUUCCCGGACAAGUUUCAAAUUUUUUGGAACACGUUUAGAUCAUGUUUAGAGUCCUAAAACAAUGGACCAAUGCGAUCAUGGUGCGCCGCGUCGCCAAUCGAGUUGGUCAACAUUUGUGCAGGAUGCCAGAUCCAAAACUUUUGAGGCUCAACGUGAUCAUGCCACGUCGCAUCAAGUAUCGCGUUGCAGCCAUCUACGCACCGCGUUGCUUGUAGCAUCGGUACCCAGUUUUUAGUCAUUAAAUGUCCGCAUUUUUAAGGGCAAAAGGGUCAAUUUCCCAUCCUUAGAUAAACCCAAUAACACAUGAUUCAUCCAUAGUUCACCCAAAAUAUAGAGUUUCUCUCAAGUCUCUCUCAAGAACAAGUUAGGGUUUUCAAUUGAGGAUUCAAAUUCAAUACUUAAAGUCAAGAAUCUCUCCGUCAAUCUUUGUAAAAUCAGGAACUAAGGUAUGUCAAGUGUUGAUUUAUGGAUUUCUUUAAUCCAUAAAGUUCAAGAACCCUCUUUCAAAUUAUAAAACAUGAUAUUUAUAUUGUGGGUUGUUUGUAACCAUGUUUAUCUUAUUAUAUGAUUCCCAAGUUGGAAUCUGUAUGUAACUACGUUAGCAUGCAAGAUGAAAUCCAUUAAUUGAGUUGUUUAUGAUGUGUAAUUUUAUGAUUUCACCUAUGUCCUAAGUUGUGCAUGUAGGUGUUUGACAAAAUGUCUAGGAGGAUAAAAAUUGGGUAUUAUAGCUCAAUUGUGACUCAAAUAAUAGAUACAUGCUUUACCCUUAUGACCAAGAUUGACUUCCAUGAUAUUGUGUGCAUUAUGAGUAUUUGAUGGAAUGUUCAUGAGAUUAGGUUGAUGAAAGUAUGACAUGUCUAUAUGCAAUUCCAUCCAUGUACAAUAUUAUGAAAACCAUGCGUUUCAUGAAAUCCCCAACUUAUUUAUUAUGAAUUGUUGAUAUUAGUUAUGUGUUCACGAAGUGUCAAGUCUUGUCAAUUUCAUGCUAUCGAGUCCUGGGGGUACUUGCACCCGACAAUUUAGCUGUAUGCCUAGAGCCAGUGUCAUUUUUCUCGAUAGUCCCAUUCAAGCCAUGAUCAUUAGAAUUCAGUCAGUUACAUAACUUAGGAAAACUCAGUACUCUCAGUCAGUUAUCCGAUCUCAGUAGUAUUUCGCCAGUUAGUGGAAUUUAGUGAAAUCUAUUCAAAUCAACUAAAAGAUAAUUUUACUAAUAGUUCAGUUCAGUUUAAAUAAGUUUAGUGUCUCUUCAGUUGGGAGUCGGAUUUGGUACCGAGUAGACCCAAGGAUGGGGACUCACCUGUUAGUCAAUAGAGGUCCUGAUCCUUAGAAGCAAUCCUUCCAUUCCAGAACUUUGUACCUAGCGUAGGUUUAGAUGUACCCUAAUAUUUUAGGGAUUUAUACACCUCAUUUGAGUUCUUCCUACUAUAAGGGGUUUACAGAAGAGCUCCUUUUCAGAGAGGGUUUACUCACAGCUUGUCUUUACCCAUGGCAUUGUACUGACACCAUUCCAGCUGGGGUUACAGGUUGGAUCCCACCAGUUCGAUUUUGGGGCAUGUCAGUUAGAUGAUUACUUCUCACAGUCUCAGUUUCAGAUCCAGUCUCAGUAAUAGAACUCAUUUCAGUUCUACAAUCUCAGGACUGUCAGAUACAGUUACUCAGCUCAGUACAAAACUCAGCUAGCUCUAUCAAAAUCAGAAUGUCAGACAUAGUCACCCAGUUAAUAGUAUAUUAAUUAUACAAAAUUCAUGUUACCAGUAUUCGAAUUUCAGAACUGUCAGAUACAGUCAAUCAGACUAGUUCUUCAUAAUUAGAACUGUCAGAAACAAUCAUUCUUUUAUCAGUAAUAUGAAAUUAGUUCCUCAGUAUUCAGUAGACUUAGUCUUUCAGUAUCCCAGUAUUAUUACCCAGAUAUCAGUAAAUCCACAUUAUCAAAAUUCAUGAGUCAGUGUUUUCACGAUCUCAGAUACAAUUAUGUAUUCUUGCACGUAUUCUCACAUUUAUGUUAUUUAGUCAGUUAGUAUUGUUCAUGCAUAUGAAACAUUGAAUUAAGCCUACCUCACUUGUAUAUCAGUACAUUCAAUUGUACUGACAUAUUUAUGCUAUGGUAUUUUAUACCAUAGGUUCAGAAGCACGCGCUCCAGAGUAUCAGUAGCAUUCCAGUUUUAGUAGUCAGAGUCAGCAGUGAGUCCUCAUCAUUCGAGGAUGUUAUGUUUUGAUUAUUUCAUUCAUUUAGUACUUAGUUUAUUUUAGGAAAUGGGGUUAGUUGGGGGAUUGUCCCAUCAACUCUUUAUUCAGACAGUUCAAUUUUAGAGGCUUUCAGACUACAACAUGUUCAGACAGUUAUUUAGUUAUUUUGGUAUUGUUAUACCAUAUUUUCAGUUAUGUAUCAGUAUUGAACCUUAUGGCCUUUUAGUUCAUGUUUUCGUAUUUAUGAUAUUACCAUUAUUAUUUAGGGCUUAGUUACAGAUAGGGGUGUACAUAGGUCGGGUUGGUUCAGUUUUUCAUUAAAAUAUAACCAAACCAAUAAUGUCGGUUUUCUAAAUCUAGAAACCAAAUCAAACUAAUAUACAAUCGGUUUUUAUAUUUUGGUUUUAAUCAUUUUUUUUGGUUUUUUCGGGUUUUUGAUUUUUUUACAAUUAUAAUGUGAUUGAAGAAAAAAUUAAAUGUUUUCACUAAAAAGAUUAAAAAAAACAAUGGUCAUAGAGUAGUUCCAAUUAAAAUUAAGUUGGCAAAUUACUAAGAUGUUUUAACUACUAUCUCUCAAAGUAAUAUUAUGUGGAUACUCAGUGGUUCAAUUUGUAAGUCACUAGUCACAAUAGCUUGGCUUAAUAUUUCCUUCAAAUAAAAUGUGAGCAUAAAGAAGAAUGAAGAAUUGGAGACAACUUAUUAAAAAUUUAACUCCAUAAAAUAAUUAACUAUAACAUAAUUCCACAAGAAAAAAGAGAAAGCAGAGAAACAAACCUAAAUCAAAACUUCACGAAUGAGGAGAAUGAGAAAAGCAAGAUGAAAGUAAGAUGAGGAAAUAAUGAGAACUCUCUGAAAACUUGGAAAGUAAAAUGUAAAGUGAAGCAAUUGAAGAGUUAUAGGUUUUUAUAUUAAUAUUGUGUUUUGUAUUAAUCUGUUACUAAUGGAUAAAUAUUUGGGAAAAGGACAGCAAUAGCACCUAAAACUAAAAUAAUAUCAUAAAAAUAACACUCAAAACUAAAUACCCUAUAAAGAGCCACAAACUAAUUUCACUAGCUAACCUUCACUGUCAUAUGCUUAAACAUAAUUGAAAAUGUCGUUAAAGUAACUUUCUCUUUCUUUCUUUCCUUUUCAUUCACAAUUUCCUUUCCAUUCAAACUCCCAAACCUCCAUUCUUUUACCUUUUUCGAUACUUCAAUUAGUCUUUCUUAUUUCAUAAAUUUUGUAUAAAAGCUCUAAAAAUCUAUAUUCAAUUAGCUUCCUAUAAUUUUUUUCCAUUGUAAAUUUGCUCAAAAUUGAUACAAAAUAACGGCUUCAACUUCAGUUUCAGUUUCAAUAAUGAUAAAAUACGGAGGUCAGUGGAUAUCUAAUGUUGAAUUUAAGAGUAUCAAUAUGGUAUAAAAGAGUAUCAACUGAGUAUAGGGAUUGCAUGUGCAUGCAAAAAAUUCCUUCUCCCUUUUUUAAAAAGUAUAUCAAUGUAGUACAAAAGUGUAUCAAUGUGACAUAAAAAUGUAUUAAAUGGGUAUAAAGACUGUACAUGCAUCCAUAGGUUCCCCUUCUCUUUUUUUUUAAAAAGUGAAUCAAUGUCCCCCGUUUUUUUUAAAAAGUGUAUCAAUGUGGUAUAAAAGUGUAUCAAACUGGUAUAAAAGAGUAUCAAUUGGGUAUAGAGACUGUAUGUGCAUGCAAAGGUUCCCCGUCCCUCUUUUAAAAAAUGUGUAUCAAUCUUGUAUAAAAGAGUGUCUAUUGGCAUAUUUUUUUUUAUCUUUACAUGCAUCAAAACAUCUCUGACUCACCGUGAUUGAGUCAGCCUCUAAGAAGAACAUCUCUUCGACUCACCGUGAUUGAAUCAGCCUCUAAGAAGAACAUGGACCAAGACAUGGCUUUUCUCUUAUCUUGACACCUCAUUAUUUUAUUUUUUUCUUCUUCAAGUUUAAUGAACUAUGACAUUGCUUCAAGUACAAACCUGUAUGUAAUGAUUCUGUAAAAUAAUCAUCAUUAACAACAAAUUUGAGGUCAAAAUUGACCGCUUUACCUGUUAAUUUUAACUUUCCUUUAUUUCCUAUUUUUUGCUUCAUGUCCAUAGUUUUUAAUGCUCCAAUGUAAGACACAACAAAUCAAUUUUGAUAUUGAUCAUAAAAUACAGUAGAUUGAUCGAUGUAUAUUAGAGGAGAAAAAAGAAGAUUUGAGAAAGUAUAUUUAGAAAAGAAAAGUGAUUUAAGAGUAACAACUAUAAAGAACAUUUAAUUUUCUUAAUUGUGUAAGGACAGUGGUUUUGGGCCAAGUGACUAAAAAAAGGAAAUAAAUUGGACCGACUGGCUCCAAUUGUCCAUAUUUUCAUAGUGUGGGCCAUUUCUUUUUAAAAUGAUCAGUUCAUGUCCUUUUCUUUAAAUAUUAUAACUAAAGGCCCAAGAAUAUAUAUCUAUUUUCUGAAUAUAAAAAAGUUAUAAAAGUAAUUAGAAAGUAGAUUUUAAGUAAUAUUUUUUUAAGUAUAAAAAAUUAAAAUUAUAUAGGUAUUAUGUCGGUUCGGUUUAGGUUCAGUUUGAUUUUACUUUUGCUAAUACCAAACCAAACCAAGAAUGAUCGAUUUUUUUUUGAACACCAAACCAAUCAAACCAAACCAUAAGUCGGUUUUUUUCUUUGGUUUGGUUUGAUUCAUCGGUUUGGUUUGACUUAACGGUUUGGUUUGUAUACCCUUAGUUACAAAUAUCAGUCAUGGGUUAGCUUGUGGUCCUUUGGGAUUAUGAGCACCGUGUAGCGUUCUGAGUAUCAGAUUCAGGGCGUUACAAAUUCUUUCCUUUGGAUAUUUUUUUAGCAAAGUCUUUUGGAUAUUUAAAUUUACAACGACCUUUCUUUUCAUGCAAGUAUUUGUAGGAUUUAAUUUUUCACAGGGACCAUGCAUCAUAUGUUUAACAACAAGCAAGUACAAAUCACGAUUUGUAAUAGAAUCAGGCAAUUCAGCACAAACAAAUAUAUCAUAAGAUUCAGGAGUCAGUAAUUUAUGUUCAUUAGCAGGUAUAAUAAGGAAAUGAGCAUGAGGAAGACCAUGUUUUUGAAAUUCUAUAGUAUACAUAAAAGCAAAAUUUUUUCCAAAAAUUUGUAUUUCUAGUAUAUCUGUUUUUAGUUCUUCGACUUUUGCUCUGAAGAUUCUACUUAUCAAAUCAAGCCUAUUUUGCACCUCAUCAACAAAUAGUAACUGUUAUUUUAUUUCAGGCUAAGAUGGGUUGCAUGUUAUUGUUAUAAAUGAAUCAGGUUUUCCAAAAGAUUGUACUAAUGCAAUUGCAUCCAUAUAUGGUCGCCGCAUGUCCUUUGGCCCUUCUAUAAAAGUUACAGCAAGAAUAUUUUUCUUUCCAAUUUUAGAGGCUUCCCUUUCUCCAUACUUCAAAAUAUCAAGGAUCCCUUAAAAUACUUUUAACUCUAAAUAAAUCCUGAUUGAGUGAGAAAAAGUCUAAUCUUUGUGUUUCAAGAUUUAUAUAUAUAUAUAUAUAUCUACUAUAAAUUGUUGAAAUAUUCUUCCAUAAUGUAGUACCUCUUUUCUUUCAUUAUCUCUUAUUUGAAAUUUAUAAUAGUAAUAUUCUCGACAAGAUACUUUAUCUCUUUUCCAUUUUCCUUUUUUCAUCGAUUCAACUUUCAUAUAAAGAAAUCCAUCUAUUGAACUCAUAUUUGAUAUACUGGGCAGUUCCUCGUGUUCACAAUGAGCUGUACGCCUUAUUAGAUUAUUUUUUUGAGAUAUUCUUUUGAUUCCACAAUGCCAUCUAUUUUCUCCAUAAGGAAACAAUAAUGGGUACUGUAGUGGAUCAUAGUAUCCAUAAUAAUAAUUUACUAACUGAGUUUUAUUACUGUGGUGUAAAUUCGACUAUGGGGUGUAAAAAUUGAAUGCGCAGAAUUUUCUUCAACCCAUAUUGCAGCACCUCUGAUGCAGUGGGUAAAUUAUGUUCUUUGAUAUAAAUUUGAAUCACAUCUAAGUGCAAUAUAGAAAUCUGAUAAGUUGGCAAAAUUCAAAAGAGAUCGUAGGAAAAUAUUGUAUGGAUUUACUAUCAAUAUGUCCAUUAAUUUUUGCACUACUGAUUUAACAACUUUAUUUGAGCAAGCCAUUCUGUUGGGUAGUUCAUUAUCAUGAUCAUAAAAGUAUAAUUGUAAAUUUUGAGGUUUAUCAUUUGAAGGAAGCAAGUCAUCUAUAAAAUGAUACAUCUUUCCUUGGACUUUGAAUAUGUAAAUACCAGAGUUUCUUUUUGCCAACUCUUUUUCAUAUUUUACACCCAGUGAAGUAAAAGAAACAUGUUAUUGCAUGUUCUAAUAUAAGUUCAAAAAUUUUCUGAUUCCUCAAUUUUUUUCAAAGUAUAGCUUUGAUAAUUCAUCUGGCAUUUUAUGUGAUGUCAGCCUUAUUGAGCCGUUGCUAUAGAAAAAUCCUGAAGAUUCAUAUUCAAACUUUUUUGCAUCACAAUAUUGAUAGUUGGAAACUUUUUUUAAAAUGGCAUAUUUACGUUGUUGGUCGGUUAUGGCGAGACACACCCUUUUUGUUCGUCUACUAUCUGAAUUUUAAAAAAUGUAAUUAGAGUGAUUAGGGUACUGAUGUGGGAGAAAAGUGGACAUGAUUCUAAUGCAAAAUUGUGCAAACCUUUGUUGGGGACUGUAUUCAAGGCCUGAACAUGUUUAGAUGUGCUGGAUAUUCUCCCUUAUAUCCAAAUAGGCAUACAUUACAAUAGCGCAGAGAUAAUAUAUGAUAGUUGUAAAAAAUAAUGCAAAGAUAAAGUUACCUGUUUUGUAAAUCACAACAGGGCUGCAUAUUUUCUUUUUAUUUUCUAGUUCAUCACACAUCCUGUUCACACAUGGUUGACAGUGGGUAGCUGAUAAAAGAAUACCAUUAACAGAUUGGAAAUAGAAUGCGAAAAAUGCACAAACUAUUUUUAUAUCUCAGUGUUACUAAGAUUAAUAAUAGCACCUGUUUCACAAAGUGGAGGUGGUUCUUCUAUGGUAGGAGGAGUUUGUUCUGCGAGUGGUGUAUUGAACCAAGAUGAUAUUGGUUGGGUUGAUGUGCCCCCUUAUAUGCAAACAACCAUAUAUCAGAAUAACACACGGAUAUGUCAAAGUUGAAAUUUAUAACGCAAAACUGAAGUUACCUAUUUCAUAAACCACAAAGGGGAUGCAUAUAUCUUUUCCUUUGUUGGGAUUAUCACGCGACAUAUUCAUACAUAAUUGACGUUGAAUAGCUAGUACAAACAAUAGCCAGCAUGUGUGAAGCCAGAAAGUACAAUAUAAGUUUAGUGAACACAAGAUUGACAAGGUUAAUAUUCUUAAGGGAAAAUUUAUUCAAGCAUGUGGAAGAUGAGUAUACAAUAUGUACGUAUGAGAAGUAAGUAAGAUGUUAGAGCCAGACUAACCUUCUUCUGUUACAGUUUGUUCAUAAGUCGGAGUGUAUUGUUCAUUUGAUGUACCUAAAGCUUCAUAAUAUUAAAAUAUGUAUUUUACUUCUGUGUUGAUAUAGAUUGUGGUUGUGCUCAACGUAUAGAAAAUAUAAGCCUACCUAUUUGUGAGAAAGAAGAAGAAGUUAGUAUAGUGGGUGUAGUCUAUUUUGUAGAGUUAACAACUUGGGAGACAUAAGAUGAUAUUGCGGACUAGAUUAACUUUUUAGGAGUGGUAUUUUGAACGGCAUUUUGAAGAAGACGAUGAGUUAUUGAUUCACGAGGUUUAUGCCUCCACCGACACAGUAAUGUCUUCUUUUCAGCCACUAUUUUCUGAUCAUACAUUUGAUGGUGUUUAUCAUUUUUAUCAGUACUUUUCUUUACUGAAUGAGUCCAUUUAUUAUUUCGCUAAACAUCCAUUAAUGUGAAGUGUGAGGAGGUUCUAUAAAUAAGAAAAAUAAAUAGCUAUCAAGUGAUAUGGUAAACUAAAUCUAUAAACAAAUGUAACCAUGGUUCAUGAUUAACAGAUUACUAAUCUUCUAUUAGAUAGUUUAAAAUAAUGAUCCUACCUAUAUAUAUAUUUGUAUCGAAGUGCUACUGUUUAGCAAGGGAGAAAAUUUCCAAUCUUCAGUACUCAGGACACUAAAUUAAACAAAGAGAAUUUGCAUCUGUAUCUUAGCUUCUGGUCAGAAAGUCUAUUUUUCUGGAUCAUGUCCUUUGUUUUUGUACGAACAUAAGUAAGAGCAGGUUGUUGUACGUAUAAUGGAUGUUGUUGAUAUCGAUUCAACUUGGUUUGCAUCUGCAAUAUAUAGGGGAGAGUGUAUUAUUUUACUCUUUUAAAACCGAAACCUCGAGAUUUAAUCAGGUGGCUUUUAGUUCCAAUAAUUUCAUAUAAAGUAAUCCGUAUAUCAGAUACUUCUUCUAUAUCAUCCUAGCUAAGUUUUUCCAGAGUCAUUUUUUUUGACUAUGUUACACGGAGUAUCUACUUUUGUUAAUGUACUUGUGAUAAAUGAGUGUAAUAUGGGCCUCAGGAAAAAAAGUUGAUUUACCUGUGCCAAUAUUUGUACUGACCACUUACCAACUCCUUGCCUAGGUCUAUGUUACUUAGGAGAUAGUCAUUUUAUGGGGUUACCAGCCAUAUCAUCCCAGCUAAUUAUAUUUCUACACUCAUGGAUGUUGCUAAGUUUAGUAUUAUUUUAUAUAUGUGACAUGGAGUAUUCAUUUACCCCAAGUAUCAGUGCUAAAUAAAUUUGACAUGGUUAUAAGUAUUUCAUCAACCAACAACCAAUGGAAAAGUUUUAAGAAGAAAUUAUUAAGAAAAAAUGAUCUUUCCUAAUGUUAAGGCAACAGUUCUAUUUUCAAAACUUCUUAUGCUAUUUGUUGUCUUUGUAUAAAUGAAAUAGUACAUAUCAAAACUUAAGAAAUUAUUGAAUGUUAUUGCUUGUUAUCAUUCAGUCAUUUCUUAUUAUUUCUACGAAGUUCUAAUAGAGUAGAAAUUUUAGGUAUGGAAUUUUUCGAGCAGCUAAUAAAGUAAAGCAAAGAAAUGGUGAGAACUUGAAAAUUAUUACUCUUCAUGAAGGCAUCAGAAAUUGAAAGAAAAGGAAAAGCAAGAGCACAAAAAAUUUGGUUCCAUGGAAGAAGACAACAAAAUGCAAACAGUGAUAGCACAUCGCUUUUCUACACAGAUGCCUAAGAUUUUAUUAGACAGCACUGUCGCCUCAUAUUUUCUUAACGAUUAUUUGAUUGGUAGGAUACCAAUGUCAAAAUAAUGUCUUGCACUUCACCGACGGAAUAAAACAUAACAAUUUUAUCGGAUGAACUAAAUUAAUGAGAUUAGCUAUCCCAUAUAAAAAGUGAUGUAGCUAAUACCAUGGAGUAUUCUUGUCUACCCAUGUCACAUACCAGGAUCCUAUCAGAUACUGCUAUAUCUUUAUUUUAAUAGCGAAUGAAAUUCUAAACUUUUUGAUCAUCCUAAUCGUUCAGCACAACCAUAGAAUUGGAGCAGAAUUACCAAAUUUAACAGAGAUUAGCCAUAAGUAGAUGGUGACAGUAAAUUUCCAUUAGUGAAAGCUCAUCGUUACUUUUAUCAAAAACUUGACCGGCAUAUUCCUUAACCCUAAUUUAACCCAUUUCCACCACUCGAAAAGAAAGUUUUACCUCAAAUUCUCUAUCAAUUUGAUAUAGCCAGCUAGGUAUAAAAGAAACCCACUACUUUAAACACUACUUGAAACUCUAUUUUUAAUUUCAACAGAUAACCUAAUUUAAACCCUUAAUAAGAACAACCAGAAAGAUAGCACAAAGUGAGAAACAAAGAAAGAACUAACCAAUUAAAAGAAGGAUGAGUAGUAAGCGAAGCACUAUUUCAGAGUUAGAAAUUAGUGUAUGCUCUACAAAUUUUAGAGAGAGAUGGAGCGAAGCACUGUUUCAGAGGUACAAAUUAGUGUAUGAACUGAAAAUUUCAGAGAGAGAUGAAGAACUUUGGAAGUAAGCUCUGCACGUAAUUACAGAUAAGCUCUGGAUGUAGUUCCAGAUAGAUAUGCCUAAGCAAAAUAUGAAAAUAGCCUUUGUCGGCAAGCAGGAUAAUCGAAAGCUCGUGGCAGCUGCUUCAACUGUCUCUUAUAAUAUAAGAGACAACUAGAGUUCUUUUACUAUAUAUAUUAUGUCAAUUUGCAACCAUUGAUUUUAAUUUGGAAUAUUGGUAGCAAACUGAAUUAAGUGUGUGUGUGGACAUAUGAUUUCUUCUCAUGAUUUGAAAUCAACAUUCAUACAUAAGGUUAAAUCAUGAGAUGACAUAUCAAAUUUUCAAAAAAUCGUGAUUUCGUCUCAAAUCAUAAUUUCAACUUUUUAAUAUGUAAAAUAUGUCACAAUUUAUAUUUUAUAGAAAAACUCAUAAUUUUAAAUUUUAUGAAAAUAAAAGGUAGAAAAAACUCACUGUGGACAUCAAAAUGUCAUUAAAUUUAAAUCCGUAUGAAAUUUAAAUUAUAUUAAAUUCAAAAUAUAUUAGUACCAAAUAAAUAUUGUGGAUUAAUAUAAUUGAAUUAAUUAUUUAAGAUCAAACACAUGGCUUUAAAUAAGGUCCAAUAUUUAUUGGACACGUCCAUUAAUUUGGGCUAUAAAUAAUGGGCCCACUUUGCUAAGCGCAAGCUAUUGUCAUAUUCUAGAGGCCCAAAGGAGUGCCACAUGUCGAAUGAUGUGGAAUGCCAAGUCAAGUGAAGGAACCAAUAGAACCAUGCCACAUGUCAAAAUGAUGCAGCAAACCUAGUGAAAUAAAAAGCCCAUAAAAGGUGCCACGUCACUUGAAUUUGAUUGAUCAAAGGAAGUCCAUCUUCCUCAUAACUCUUUCCUUUCCACAACUAUAAAUAGGGGUCUCAUAAUUCAGAAAAGAACCCCGAGAACUCAAACAAGAAGCAAGAGAAAGCUCGUGGAUUAAAUUCCACAAUUUCUCUACAAACCUCAAACAUUCAAAUCAAGUUCAUCAAGAUUCAAGAUCAAGACCUCAAAAUUCAAGAUCAAGAUCAAAAACCCUUGAAUUCAAGUACAAGUUAAGAUCAAGUCCAUCAAAUCAACAAAUCAAAUUCAAAUUCAACAUCAUGCUAAGAGCCCUUGAAUUUAUAUUUGAAAAGGCGAAUCAAAGAAUUCAUAGAGAUUGUAACUCUUACAUAUUGAAAUCAAUAAAUUGAUUGUUGCAAUAUUUUUUUGUCUUGAUUAAUCAUUUUCGGCCUCAAAAAUUUAUUGUACAACAAAUUCUGGAACACCCAGUGGGACAAUCUCUACCUCUCAUCUCAAUUUUUCCAACUUCAAAGUUCAACAACACUGAAAUAGCUUCUAAAGAGGUCAAUCUCAAUCAACUUCUUUCGAGGCUGCUGAUUCUAAGUUCUUUGCUGAUGUAGAAAGAAUCCUUGGUGUUAAUUUCGAAAGCUUGGGAGCUGUCACAAGGAGAAAUGUAGGCUUGCUAGGACAACAAACACAUCCAGUGUCGUUCGCGCCAACUCCAGAUUUUGGAUCUUCAACCCCAAAAAUAAUAAAGUCUAAUGCAAGUGCUUUGGAGGGAUGAAGUAGUGUGUUAGAAUCGCUUAAGAAGAAUCUAGCUCUACUCGAGCAUUUUAAUUCCAAAUACUCAGGCGAAAAGAGCGAUUGUCAUUCAAUAAAUUUAUCAUCUCCACUUACAUCGCAAAAGCUGAGCACUUCAAAUAUCAACUUAUGCAAUAAUCUAUGUUACUCUCCAAUGUCUCCAGUGAUCAUGCAAGCAAUGGUGACUGAUGCCUCAUCUAUGGAGGAGGCAUUUGCGAAUUUGACAAAGGCAAUUGAGGGCCUGACGAAAUAUGUUCAGAAUCAAGAUACUUGGAUUGAUAAGAUAGUAGAUAGGAUGGAAGGCCUGAUAAAUGGAGAGUCUAGCCAUGCACCUAGAAAAUCUCCAGAGGCUCACGAGAUAGAACAUCCUAUGAAACAGACACCACUAACUAAUGAGGUAUAAGUUUCUUUUGAGGGAAUAAUCCCGAUUGACAAAUUGAAGUAAUUUAUUAAAGGGACCCUCAAAGACAAGUAUGAUGUUGUCACCAAGUCUUUGCUUGCGUAUGCCAACCCCUACACUGCGAGAAUAGAUUGCUUCAAAAUGACUGAUGGCUAUCAACCUCCCAAAUUUCAAUAAUUUGAGGGCAAAGGGAACCUAAAACAACUUGUUUCACACUUUGUUGAGAUAUGUAAUAAUGUUGAAACUUACGGUGACUAUCUUCUCAAAUAGUUUGUUCGUUACCUAAAGGUAAA
rnacentral:lncRNA from 1 species